CCCACUCACCUCUUCAGUGGGAGAAUAAUGAGUAAGAAGAGGUAACUCUAAAUUCUGUGAUUUUGAAUGAUAUGGUUCAACGAGAGAGCUCUAGGUGAUAGGGGGAGAGAAUUGGACGUUUAAAAAAGUCAGAUUUGAGGAGGUAUUCAAGGAGAGACAAGGUAGAAGCCAUUAUGCAGUCUACUCAGAGUCAAAAAACUUUUUCUGGUGAGUUAUCCAUAACUCUUAAAUGCUCUAAUGAUGAAUAAACCCAUUGCACAAAAAAAAGGUGUCAGAUCUUGUACUAAACACCUUAUUUCUAACUUUGUUUCUUAUGAAUCAUUAGUCUAUUUCCUCUGUGUCUAUUCCACAGGAUUGGAAGGAAGCUCUUGCAGAUCCUAAAUGGAAGGGAGCAAUGAUUGAAAGGACGAAAGCACUGGCAAAAAAUGAGAUCUGGGAGCUUGUCACUCUCCCGCCUGGGAAGAACUUGUUGGCUGUAAGUGAGUAUUCACAAUAAAACACAAAACUGAUGCCACAAUUGAACGGUUUAAGGUCAGAUUGGUUACUAAAGAAUUCACCUAAAUUUAUGGAGUGGAUUAUCAAGAAAUAUUUGCUCUAGUUGUAAAAAUGAGCUCAGUUAGAGUCCUAUUAUCUUAUGCAACCAACUUGGACUGGGACCUACAACAGUUUGAUGUGAAGAAUACUUUCCUCCAUGAAGAUUUAGAGGAAGAAGUGUUCAUGGAGAUCUCUCUUAGGUUCGCUGAUGAGAAGACACAAGGAAAGAUGUACAAAUUAAAAAAGGCUUUGUAUGGAAUCUCCCAGAGCUUGGUUUGAUAGGUUUAGCAAAACCAUGAUGUCCUUUGGUUAUCAACAGAGUAAUGCUGAUCACACUCUGUUUGUUAAAUAUCACAAGGUAAGAUCACCCUUCUUAUUGUGUAUAUUGAUGAUACAGUGGUGACAGGUGAUAACAAAGAGGAAAUGACUCAAUUAAAAAGGUUGUUGGUUCAAGAAUUUGAAAUCAAAGAUCUAGGAAAGCUUCAAUAUUUCCUAGGUAUUGAGGUGGCUAGAUCAAAAAAGGAAUCUUUAUCUACCAAAAAAAGUACAUUCUGAACCUUUUAGAAGAAAUUGAUAUGUUGGAGUGUAAAUUGAUAGGGAGGUUGAUUUAUCUCUCACACACUCAACUGAAUAUAAUCUAUGCUGUUAGCUUAGUCAACCAAUUCAUGCAUGACCCUCGCGAGACUCAUAUGCAGGUUGUCCUUCACAUCUUGAGAUACCUUAAGUUUGCGCUAAGGAAAGGGCUUUUUUACUCCAAUCAUAGUCACUUUCGAGUUGAAGCUUUUACAUAUGCAGAUUGGGCAAAAUCUCUCAAUGACAGGAGAUCCACCUCUAAUUACUGCACAGUUGUGGGAGGGAAUCUUGUCAUCUAGAAAAGCAAAAAAUAAAGUAUUGUUGCUCAGUUAAGUGCUGAAGUAGAAUAUAGAGUAAUGGCCCAAGGUGUGUGUGAGCUUUUGUAGUUGUAAAAGUUAUUGAAGGAGUUGAGGUUGCCUGAGAGAGACAAGAUAAUUUUGUAUUGCGACAACAAAGCCGCCAUUAGUAUAGCAUAAAAUUCAGUUCAGUGUGACCAAAAGAAACAUAUUAAGAUUGAUCAACACUUCAUUAAAGAAAAAUUAACAGACAGGGUUUUGAGUUUAGUUCAUCUGACUUAUACUGGACAACUUGUGGAUGUGUUCACUAAAGAGCUCAACAAUAGAAUCUAGCAUAAUCUGAUUUGCAAGUUGGGCAUAUGCGAUAUAUAUGUACCAACUUGAGGGGAGUGUUGAUUUAUUUGAUAUGAUUUGAUUUGAUUAUGCAUUCUAAGCAUAAAUUAGAAUCUUUAAUUAUCUCUGUAAUUAUUUUUUGAUUAUUUACUCUUUGUUUAGUUGUAAUUUUUUGUGUAUAAAUAAUCAUGUAAAUCACUUAUAAAGAUUAAGAGUGAAAUACAGGAAUACUCUAAAAUUCUUGGAUAUAUAUAAACAUGGCAAUCACCUCUAAUGGGGUUGUUUUAAUUCUUGGGAACAUUUGCCUUUAUGAAAUCGAAUGACAGGGAUUCGCAUGUUCGGGAUCUUAUUCUUUGCUUUUCCAAAUCUUAUUUUGAUCUACCAUCAAAAGUGAAAAAAAAUGAAAUUGGCAAAGUGGGAAACUGUUAUCACAAAAGUCCUCAUAACUGAUGUAAUGAAACGUCCUUGAGAACUAUAAUGAAAAGCUAGACUUGUUUAAGAUGAAAAAAUAAAGUGGACAAUUUCAUUUUAAUUUUCUAAUGGUCUUCCGAACUGCCAAAAAAACUUUGCAGUUGUGCAUUAGCAAGUAGGAAUCAUAUCAUUCAAGACAAAAGAUUUUGCAUUAAUUUUCGUGCUAUAUCAUUUAAGAAGGGAGGAUUCACUUUUUUAUAAGACGAGGUUCCUCUAGAUGAGAGAUGAAUGAAUAAAGGAAUUGUAAAUAUGAAAGCAAAUUCUACCUGGCAAAGCUGAAAAGUUACAUUUGGUUUAUUGGAUUGGACAGGAAAGCCCCGUGUUUUUUCUCCUGUUCAGUCCUUCAGUCCCCUUCUCUGUUUUCUUUUCCCUUACUAGACAAUUUAUCCAGUCCAAUGGCUGAGAUUGUUAGCAUUCCUCGUCAACAUACCCCUUUCUUCUUUUAAAUAAAAAUGAAGUUUCUUCAAUAUUUGUGUGCUAUUGUUAAAUUUGAUUCCUGUAUAUCGAUGAUUGAAGACUGUCUGGAAUGUCAGCAUUACGUGGUUGCUAAUAGUAAUUUGCUGCUUGAAUUAUUUCAUAAAAGAUUGUAGAAUUUCUUCAUAUUGUUGGUAUUUUGGUUACCUAGCUUUGUAUUGAAUGCCCUGUGCUCUAUAUGAGUUAUCCUAAAAUUGAAACUGGUGGUGUUUGUUGAGUAAACAAGAGACAGUAACGUUUGUAUUCUCUCUUCCUUUUCUUUUUUUUUUUCAUCUUGCAGUUACUGAACUUCCAGAUACUGUAUUCCUUCUAGAGGAUUGCCCCCAUGAUUGGUUGUUUCCCCAGUGUGCUGCUGUGGUGAGUUAUUAUUAUUAGAGAAAUUUACUAUUUAGUCCCUAUAUUAUAUGGAAACUCAUUAGUUGGUCUAUCAGUUUUGUAAAAUACAUUAGAUUGUCCCUGAGAUUUUAAAAGUUUGCUAAUUAAUCAUUCUGUUAGUUUUAGCCGUUAAAUAUUUUACUAUUUAGGCUCUAUAAUUUAGAAAAACUAAUUAAUUGGUCGCUCAUGUUUGUAAAAAAAUCUACUAAUUAAUCUCUCCAUAUUAAAGGUAUUUUAGAUUUUUUUUAUAAUAUUUAAUGACUAAAAUUAACGGAGGGACUAAUUAGUAGAUUUUUUAAAGUUUCAAGAAUAUUUUAAUAUAUUUUUCAAAAUUGAGAUACUAAAUAAUGAGUUUUUCAAUAAUACAGGAAUUAAAUAGUAAUUUUUUUAUUAUUAUUAAUUUUUGUUGUAUUUUUUCUUAGAAAAACUUACUAUUUUGUCCCUAUGGUAUAGAAAAAUUUAUUAGUUAGUAUUUCGAUUUUAAAAAAUAUAUUAAAAUAUUCUAAAAUUUUUAAACAUAUACUACUUAGUCUUCCAUUAGUUUUAGCCUUUAAAUAUUUUAUUAUUUAUUCCAAUGGAAAAUUUCUUAGUUUGUCACUCAGUUUUGUAAAAUUAAAUUCAUACUAAUAAUCCUUUCAUAUUGAGAUCAUUUUGAACUUUUUAGAAUACUUAAUGGCUAAAAUUAACGGAAAGACUAAUUUGUACAUAUUUUAAUACCUUAAGGAUGUUUUAAUGUAUUUUUUAAAAUUAAGAGACUAAUUAAUGUAUUUUCCAAUACCAUGAGGAUAGCAAUAUUCCCUCUUUCUUAUUAUGCUUUUAAUAACUAAUACAUUUCCUUGCAAUUAAUAUAACUUUGUGCAGUUGCCAGCAUGUGCCUGCAAUUUUUUUUUUUUUACCUUUCUAGUAUAAUUCCUAGAUAGUUUUCAUUUUAUCAUAUAUGAAACUGAUAUUUUCUGCUUCUACUGAUGUAUUAGAACAAUAUAAAAGACUUGCUAAUGCAUGCUUCUAAUAGAAUGAUAUGUGGUUAAUCUAACACUAACCUUUUAUUUGCCAUGAUUCAUUUUGCAAGAAAAGAAUUCAAAUGAAUUCUUGCAAAAUCAUACAAGAUUUCAACUUCUCUUAAAAUGAAAAUUUUUUAAGUUAAAAAGAAUUGAAUUCUUUUAUUCCAAAGAAGAGAAUUGUUAGAAAAGAAAUCAAUUGGAUUGAAUUCUUACGAAAUUUUUGAUUUCAAAGAAGAGAAUUAUUAGAAAAGAAAUCAAUUGGAUUGAAUUCUUACGAAAUUUUUGAUUCCAAGGGUAAAUGUGCAGGUUCAUCACGGUGGUGCUGGAACCACAGCCGCAGGACUAAAAGCUGGGGUAAUGCUUAUUUAAUUAGUUUCCAUUUUAUGUUGCUGACUGCAUGAGUGCGUGUUUUGAUCAAAUAAUUUAACUAUAUCAGAGUGAGGUGUUAACUUGAGCAUGUACAGCUACAAACAGUUUCUUUGAUUCUCUCUCUUUCUCUCCAAUCAUUUCACCUACCAUAUAUUUUAUGCCCCCUUGUUCUUUAAUAAUAUUUCCUCUCUUCUAAAAGGAAAAAUUCUACUUCAGGAUUCUAAUGAAUAUAUGUAUUUGUUAGAUAAUAGGUAAUUGGAAAUGACAAUAGGAUAUGAUUGGUAACCUAUUUUAAACUAUGUAAUUUAAUAUUAACUAUAAUUGAAUGCUUUUAGUUUUUUAUUUUUCCUAUUGAGAAACUUCUUAAUUACAGUGCCCGACUACCAUAGUGCCAUUCUUUGGAGACCAGUUUUUCUGGGGUGAUCAAAUACAUAAACGAGGGCUGGGACCUGCACCGACGCCAAUAGCUAAGCUCAGCGUUGAGAGCCUUUCAAAUGCAAUAAGGUUCAUGCUGCAGCCAGAGGUAAUUCUGAUGUGUAUAUGUGCUCCCAAUUCAUGCAAGAGUUGAUUCCAGAGGAUGACAAUACAAUAGAUUACUCUAGCCUUUAUAUUUAAACUUCAUUUUAUAUGAUUUAUCCCAUUUAUAGUUCCAUUAGUCUUUGGAAGAUUAGAUUUCAUUGAUUGUGCAGCAAAUAUGAUGCUACUCCAUGAUGCUUAUGUUGCUUUUGAUUCAUACUCACUUUGUAGUUCAUCUCAUUAUUUUUGUCCAGUUUACUUUUUCACACAUAUUAAUAAAAAUAAUUUAUUUAUUAACUUUCUAAAUAUAUCCAUCUUAAAAAUAUUAAAUUUUAUUAAAUAAUAAAAAAUAUUUGAGAGGUUGUAUUGAAAAUAAAAUUAAAUUAAAUACGGUUAUAAUAGUCAAUUUAUAUCUUAAUCAUAUUCGCACAAUAGAAAAAAAAGGAAAGAUGUAUAAAAAUUACGGAAUAGAUGGAAUAUAUUUUUCAAUGAAAUUAGACUUCCUCCCCAUCUUAUGUGGAGUUUGUCAUAGCCAUAAACAAAUACAAGAACUUUCAUGUCCUUGCAGGCCUAGUUGUUACGAUCAAUCUUCCUUAUUUGAUUUAGCCCAUCAACUCUAUUCCUUCGCAUAUUGACCAUCACGUCUGCCAUCACCCAUUUGCAUUUGCAGCUUUCUUUAAAUGCUUCAGUCUUCCUUCACUUCUAUGAAAAUCCAAUUGUCAGUUACUAAAUGGGUACUUUCAAUUUUCUUAGGUGAAAUCUCAGGCAAUGGAACUAGCAAAGUUGAUAGAGAAAGAAGAUGGUGUUGGUGCUGCAGUUGAUGCAUUUCAUCGGCAUUUGCCUCGUGAACUUCCUCUGCCUACUGCGGCUUCUUUAGAUGAAGACAAACAUCCAGACCAUCUACAAUGGUUCUUGAUUCAACUCCAAAAGUGGUUCUGCCUGCCUUGUGGAGUAUAGGAUUCUUUCCUAUUUUUCAUUUUUAUGUCACAGGUUAGUUUUAUCAAAUUUUCUUUUAAUCAAUUCAUUCAUUCCAUUGAUUGGAUCUACUGUGUGGUGGUGAGUUAUAUAUAGUUUUGAAGUCACAUCUGCAGGGUUAUUGUGCAAUAAUAAUUCAUUAAAUUUUGUUUUUUCAAAAUGAAUUAUACCAAAUUAUUUAAAAUUAAUAUUUAUAACUGAUUUUCGUCCAUCUACUCUUCACCCACAGUUUCUCCUCUUCUGCAGUACCAAAUACCCAUUACAGGCCUCAUCCCAUUACAUGUUAUAAAUGAAAAAAAAAAAAAAAAAAAAAACAUUGUUUCUCAUAAGAUGGUGAAUUUUUAUUGGGAUACAAGUAAUAAUUAAUUAAAAGGUGAAAAUAAAUGAAUAAUGAGAGUUUAUAUUAUAUUUGUUUGAUAAAAAAACCAAAGGGGAAGCUGGAGAAACUUAGAUCUUUGUUAUUUGUGCAGGUUUCAAGCAACAGACAACUAGAGAUUUGUGCUAAUGCUGUUGGCUUAUGCUGGUGGAUGCUUCCAUUGUGUUGUUGCAAACAAUAAAUAAAUAAAUAAAUAAAAACUAUAUACAGCAGCAAUCGUGGGUGGCUGUUUCUUUCUUUUUGCCAAAAAUAAAUAAAUAAAAUCGUGUGUUGUUCUGUUUGAGACAGAAAAAAUUGAUGUAAUAAACAAUUCAUUUUGUGUUGCUUUGAAUUUUGAUGGGCAUGUGGUGGAAAUGUAUGUGAUAUGCCAGACAAUGAAGGACUAUGAAAGAACAGGGAAAAAAUGAGAGAAAUUAAUUAAAAAUAUUAUUUUUAUUUAUUUUUUUUAAAGGUGUUAGAAAAUAAAAUUUAAUCUAACGAGUUGACAUGUUAACAAAAAAUAACAUCAUAAAAUUGAGGUAUCAUUUAUGUAAUUUACCUUCAAUAACAUAAAUCGAUAGAGAAAAGUAGGAAUUGGCUAAGAUGAGAGUGAAUUAAGAACAAGCAAGGUCUUCAAACUGAAUUAUACAAAUUCUAGUCUGAAUUUUUGAAAUAUUUUUAAAUCAAUUUAAAUUUUUUAGAUAGUAGAUUUUUGGGUUGACAUCAUAAGGUAAAUUUUAAUUGCAAAGUUUAUAAAUUGUGUGUAAUUAUUAUUAGACCGGAUGGAAAAAAUUAAAUGUUUAUGUGAAUUUAUGAUUAUAGCUAAAUUUUUAAAUAUUGUAAAAUGAAGUUUAAUAAUUCUCAAUUUAUUGCGAUUAUAGUAAAAAUAAAUUAAAUUAUUAAAUUUUAAAAUAAAUUAUAAUAUAGGUCUUAAACCUUGAAUAAAUUUACAACUUUAAUUUUUAUAUUUUCAACAUUAAAUAAUUUAAUUUCUCACUUUUGUUAUAUAUAUAUACAAAUUGGUAAUUUCAUCCAAAUUUCCAUCAAAUUACUACUAAUUUUAAUCGAAAUGAUCAAAUGAUAACUUCAAUCGGACAUAGGUAAAGCUUCUAAGAUUUUAUUUUAUUAAAAAAAGUCUUUUAUUUUAAAUUUGUAUUUAAAAAUAAAUAUAUUUUAUAUUUUAUUAUAUAUAAUAAAUAUUUUAUAAUACUAUAAUUAGAUAUAUUGUCUUUUGUUAAUAAUAUUAAUGUCAAUUUAAUUAAAUAUUUUAUUAUAUAAAAAUUUUAUUUUUAAACGUCAUAGUCUUAUUUGAUUUAGAAAUUUAAUUUAGUAAUUAAAGACAGGUAACUCUUUUGAUAAAUCCAGGUUGGAAUAUCUGAUUUCUCAAUCUACUACUUGAAAAAGGAAAAACAAAAAUAAAAAACAACUAUUACACAGCCAUUAUCAAGUCUGUGGUUCGCUUUUUGUAAAGCUUGAUAUUUUUCCACCUUGAUUCCAUGUAGUGGCUUGAACUAUCAGGCGCCGCAUACACCCCACACUUGAAAUAGUGCUCCGCCGGGCCGUCGUCGUAGACCACCACUUUUUGUUUACCAUUGACGUAAACUUUUAUUUCCCCUUUUCCGACGUUAUGAAUCACGUUAAGCCUUAACCACUUAUUAUAGAUGUCUGUGGCCACCGGGUCGGACCUGUAGGGCUUCAGUUGGCCAUUGUAAACUCUAAGUUGCAGAGAUGUGGAUUUGGUAACUGCCCCAAAUACCUGCAUAACUGUGACCCCUGAGGUUCCUUCUGGAACGUACAAUUGCCCUUCGAAUUGCCAAACUCCAGAUGAGUAGUCAUGUCCCUGCAAAUAAGUGUUAGUUAAUUAAUUAAUUAAAUUUAAAAUUAAAUUAAAUAAAUUAAAAAUUAAAAUUUUAAUAAAAGAAUUAAAUCAAACCGAUUAAUAAUUCUUUCAUACCUAUAAAUAUUCCUCAAUAAAUUAUACAUGAGUUUAUGAAAUAUGUCAAAAAUCACAGAAGGAUUAAUUAAUUAUGUUAAUAUAUUAUUUAUUAUGCACGCACAUAUUUAAUUUGAUAAUAAGUAUAUCUGAAUAAAUAUAUGAGAUUUUAGAUUCUACUCUUCUAAUUUUUAUUUUAAAAAAAUAUAUAUAUUAUCUACGGUUGAAUUUACCUAAUAUAAAAUAAUUUAAUCUCUUAAAUUUAGUUAAUUAACAAAAUAAAUAGUUGGCAUAAUUACAUUUUGUAUUUAAAUAAUUAUAUAUUUCACAAAGUAUUUAAUUAUAUUAUCAAAAUAGAUAAUAUUAGAUUAUAUAAAAAAAAUUUUAAAAUCUUUUUCACAAAAAUUAUUUGAAAAUAAUUUUAAUGGUUGUUAAUAAUAUAUCACCAUAAUUUUUUUUUUGAAAAAUUAUAAAUCAUAAUAUAUGAAUUUAAGAAUUUAAUAAAAUUUAUUUACUGUUUAAAAACUAUAUAUUAUAUUAUCACUACUAUAUUUUAGGUUUAAACAAUAAUAAAAUUAAAUUAGUAAUAUUUUUUAUACUUUGUAAAAAAUAAAUAAACUAUUGAAAUAUAAAAAAAUUUAAAUAUAAAGACAAUUUUGGUAACAAGAUAAAGUUUCUAAAAUUGAAAAAAAGAAUUAUGCUUGUAUUAACGUAAAUUAAAUAUAAAAAACAAUACACAAAAACAGAUAAACAUAUAUUUAGAAAUUAAUUUUUAAAAUUUAUCCAAGAUUCUUUCCAAGAUUAAAGUAUAAAUAUCACUCUAUGUUUGUUAAUUUUCGGUAUAAAAAUCAUUUGCAGAAAUUUCAAAACAACCAAAAAAAAAAAAGUUUAAAACAACUUUUGCGGUAGAACGAGAGAGAGAGAGGCUUAGCUUAGAGCUUUACCUUAAUGCGAACUUCAGUUCGGGGUCUGGUAGGGCUGCCAACUUUGAAGGGCUUGUCAUUCUCGUAAACCCAAAACCGUCGAAUCCCAUUUUUGUAAGAAUAACGUUCGUUCAAGGGCUUGUCAUAUGGUUUCUGUAUGAGGAAGUUGUCCUCUGUUAAUGCCACCUCACUGAAUCCAUCAGUUGGAUCUGCGCUGCUGUUCUUCAACAAGCUCACCAUAGCCAUAAUGAGGACAAAACUUGAGUAAGCUGAGAGUUUCAUUUUCAUUUCCCUUAUAACCUGUCCUUAAUUCUUCCCAUAUUUAUAUUCGCUUGCCACUUAUACUUUCCUUUUUUUUUUUCACAAGAUGAAGUAUUUAUUAAAAAAGUAUGUAUAAAAUUAUAAUUUUAUUAAAAAUUAAAUUAUUUAUUAAAAUAUAUUAUUAUAUAUAAUAAAAAAAUUAAAAUUUUCAUAAUAAUUUUAAACGGGUAUCAAAUUAUUAACUUAAUAAUAAUUUAUAUAUAGAGAUAUACAAAUAUUCAUUUUUUUCAUUAUCUACUUGUGAUAUGAAUUAUUUGUUCUAACAGAUUAAAUACCAAUUAUAAGCUACAAUUUGUAAAGAUUUUGGGAUAAUUGCAUAAAACAAAGAAAAUGCAGAACAUGUAAUAAGAUUUUAGGGAUAAUCGCAUAAAACAUAGAAAAUGCAGAAUAUCUUAUAAGAUUUUGGAGAUAAUUGCAUAAAAUAUAGAAAAUGCAAAACAUGUUAAACACUAUUAUAUGAAAAAGUUAUCAAAUUAUUGAUUCACAUAAUAUUUUUAAUCGAUAAAUUAAUUUAAUUUAUUGUGUUCAAUGAAAAAAUAACAAAAGAUAUAUUUAUUUUACGGAAUCAAAUUUAAGAGACUUAAGAAAUGACGAAAAAGAAAAUAAAAUGAAGUUGAAGAAUUCAAAUACCUGAUGAACAAAUUCAAACUUGAAAAAAAUCUUCUAAUUCUGAAAGAAUAAGAGUUAAGAUAUUAGUUGAAAAACAUCUUAAUAAUCUGAGAUUCAGAAAAUAAAGUUUUUAUAGGAUUUUGUGAAUUUAGAAAAAAUUUAGGUCUAGAGGAGGGCAAUCAUCAUUUUAUCGGUUUUCUUUUGUCUGCUAGUGACGUAUAACAAACUGUCUAUCAUUGGGCCACCUGUCCCUGCCAUGUUGAUUCGGACAUAUGAGAAUAUCAUAUUCCUGCUACAUGCGUAACGGCCUCUGAUUCUCCACGGGCACGCAUGCUGAUGGAUCCGCCAGACGGAUGGAUCGGUUUCCUUUUAGGUUCCGAGCCGGGCCGGAACCUAAAAUUAAAACUGAGUCAAAAAAUGAUCUGUCUGAUGAGCCGUACGGGCUGGGCGGGCCUGAUUGAGAAAUUUAGAUAGAAUUCGGUUUCAAGGCUGAGUGGGCCGGACUGGAUCCAUGCGGGAGACUUGAGGGUCUCUAAAUAAUGGGCUAUUGUCAUGGGUCUGACCCCAGACCGGAGUGAAAAAAUCCCUCGUAUUAUAAGAUUAUAAGAUCAAAAAAAAUUCUCCUUUUAAAUAAUGUAAGUGUUCAAUCAGUACAUGAAUAUAAGAGGGAAUUUAUUCUAUUAUUUUGAUAGGUGCAAUUGCUAUGGCUCGUUAAUUAUAAAUAGAAUUAAUAAUUGCACUCUGAAACCUCCGUUUGUAUAAAAUAAUUUGUACAAAAUGUUUUUCAAAAAAAUAUAUUUAUAUUUUUUUGUGUUCUAACAUUUAAAAAUUUUAGUUAAUAGAAAAAUAUUUUUUUGAUUAAAGAAAAAAAAAGUUAUUUAAAAAAAGUUAUUUCUACAUUCAAAUGAGAAUUCAUUUUUAGUGUUUUAAAAUUUUUAUUAAAAUUUCUAUAUAUAAAUUUUUUAAAUUAAAAUUAAAUAAUAAAAAAUUAUUUCUAUUUAAAAAAUAUUUUUUAAAUAUUAAAUUAUUUUCCACAAACAAACGUAAUAUAAAUUAUAAUUUAGUUUACCUAUAUAGGUACACCAUCUAAUUAUUUUACUAAUGACUCGUUAGUUUUAUGAAAUUUUUUUUUUUAGAAAAAUAUUUUUUUACAUCUUUUGAGGGUUUUAACCUUUAGAAAAUUUAAUUAAUAAAAAAUAUUUUAUUAAUUAAAAUAAAAAUUAAAUCAUUUUAAAGAAAAUUAAUUUUAAAAAGAAAAAAUAUAAAAAAUACUCCAUAAUGUAUUAAUUUUUUAUUUCCGUUCAAUUUAUAUUAAAAUAAUAAUUGUGAUAUUGCUCUGUUAGCAAAUAGCAGUAAUUUAAGUAAUUUAACAUAAAAAUUAUAUCACGAAUUACUAAUUUAAUACAAAUUGAAUUACAAAUCUAAAAUAAAAAUGAAUAAAAAUAUAUGCUAUUUUUUUAUAUUUUCUAAUUAAUAAAUAUAUUUUAUUUGUUAUAUCAGUAAUAUUUUAUGACAUCAUAAAAUUACCAUUAUUUAUUAAUUUAUAAUAGAUAUUAUUUUAACAUAAAUUUGAUCUACUGACUUUAAAAUAAAAAUGACUAAAAUUAUAUAAUAAUUUUUUAUAAUUUUUUUAAAAAAAUUAUUUUUCUGAAAAUAUUAUUAAAAUUUUUAUAUAUAAAUUUAUUAAUAUAUUUUAAUUUUUAAAUUAAAAUUAAAUAAUGAAAAUAAAUUAUUUUAUUAAAAAAUAUUUUACAAAUAUAAAUUAUUUUCUAUAAAUAAAUGAAGUCUUAAUGUUUUUUUUGGGAAAUAUUCUUCUCUUCUUUUUGGCCAUUUCUGGAUAAGGGAGACUUUCUCCCAACUGAAUUGUGGAUAUCAUCUCUACCUAUAGAUUGGCUGUGUAUUAGUUUUGUGUUGCAAGUCUUAUAGAUUCAAGGUAGAGAAUGAGUUUUUAGACCUACACGCGAUGGUUUACAAUGAUCUAUUAUUUUACGGUGUUGGAGCUCUAUGCAUAGGUAGAGAGUUGUGAUGCUGCAAUGGGAAGCUAUCUUUAGGCCAUUUUCAACGGUGCGCUAAUUUUCAUUUUGGCGUUGGAGGUGGCCCUUCAAAACUGUGCCAAAAUCUAACGGUUCUUUUUUAAAUUAUAAUAUAAUUCAAAAUUUUUAAUUUUUUUUACUCUUAUAAUUUAUUAUAUUUUUAAUUUAUUUUAUAUUUUUAUAAUUAUUGAAAUUUAAUUUAAAUUAAUAUAUUCACAAUUAUAAAUAAUAUUUAUAAUAAAUUAAUUUAUUUAUAAUAUAUUAUAUAAAAUAAUAUAAAUAAAUUAGUAAAUUGACACAUAUAUUAUAAUUGAACUUCGUAAUGAGCAUUUGUGGGAGUAAUAUACAAAUUCAAAUGAUCAUAUAAAUUAGCUUAUAAUUUUUUAUUGAUAAUUUAGUAUGUAUGAGUUUAUUUUAUUUUUAAUUUGCUAAUUAAUGUUUAAUUAAUGUAUGUUUAUAAUUAAUGUUUAAGUAAUAUUUUUUUAUAAUUAUUAUUUAAUUAAUACAUUUUUAUAAUUAAUAUGUUUUUUUGUUUAUUUAUAAAAUAAUUAAAUAUUUCAAUAUAAGAUGGAAAUAUAAAAUAUAUAAAUAUUUAGAGUGAAUAUAUAAAAUUAUAUGAAUUUUUUGAGUGAAAUAUAUAAAUAAAAUUAAAGUAAAAUAAAUAAUAUAAUAUUAAAGAUAAAAGAAUAUAAAUAAAAUAUUUUUUUGGUGUUAAAAUUUGUGCAGAAGGUCAGAGAUAAUAUUGCACCAUUUUAGUACAAAGUACCAAAAUAGUGCAAAAAAUGAUGCAUAGAGUUGGAAAUGGCCUUAUUGUCAUACCCGGCUGGAGUCCGGCAUCGGAAUUCUACUUUCCGGUGGAGUCCGGGAUGUCGGAAGUCUCUAGAAGGGUAGGAUUUAUGUUUUCCGACAGUGUUAUGAUGCAUUUGAAGGUUUUUAGUUGAAUUGAUUUGAGUUGGUUUGAGGAAAGGAAGAGAAAAGGCUAUGGAGACUUUUGCCAAGUUCGGCCGCCGAAGGUAAGUUCGGCCGCCGAAAGUGCCCAAUGUUCGGCUUCCGCAGUUCAGAUUCGGCCCCCGAAUGUUGCAUGGUUUUGCAUGCGAUUCGGCAGCCGAAGCUGAGUUGCUCAGCCAACUAAUGAGCAUUCCUGAGUCAGCAUUUUGGACAGGUGUUGGCUCCACACCCUGUCCAGAAGCUUGGCCACGUCUCCUAUAUUGUUCAGCUCCUGCAAGUGUGUUGUUUUGUUGGGUGUCAAAAGUUUUGAGAGUUUGAAGCAAAAAGCUUAGGUUUGAGAGUUUAUGCGUGUGAAGAGAGUUGAUUCAUUUUCUUUGUUCAGAUCGUUCAUCUUCUUGAAUACAGGAGGUAAGUGAAGAUCUUGAACAUGUUUUACUGUUUUACAGAAGCUUUAUGAAGGUUUGGGUAGAGAUGCAUGCUUAGGUGACAAAGGGUGUUUUCUUUUGAUGGUUUAGCUUGUAAGCAUGAUUAUGUGUUCUGUGUGAUGUGUUUUGUUGGGGUGUUUAGGUAGUUUUGGACCCCUUUGUACAUAUAUAUGAGUAUAUGUGUGUGGAGGAGUUGAGGUAUGCAUGUUUUGAGAGCUUGAAGGGAUGGAGGAGCUUGUUUGUCGUCGGGGCUGAGUUCUGGAUGAACUCAGGUUCGGUAGCCGAAGGUUCAUUCGGCCGCCGAACCUCUUGCAUGGUGGCUUAGGCUGCCACAGCUUGCCCCCGCGAGUUUUGAAUGUUCGGCUCUGUUUGGGGGAUUCGGCCGCCGAAGGUGCCGCCGAAGGUUAGAGACUUUCGUCUCUGGAGUGCCUUUUGGCCCCCGAAACUUGCCCCCGAAAGGGUUCGGCCGCCGAAGCUUGAGAUUCGGCCGCCGAAGGUGCUUGAGUUUCGUCUCUGGAGAAGACUUUCGGCCGCCGAACCUGCCGCCGAAAGUGUUCUGUCCAGCUUUCUUUUGCCUACUUUGCAUGGUUAGUUGAGUGAGUUUAAGGGGAUGUUUAGGGAGGUUAAUAGAGUUAUUCAGAAGCUUGUUUGGUCCCUCAUUUGAGUCCAUCUGUAUAGGUACAGAUCAGAGGAACCAGAGAGAGCAGCAGUGAGUACUGCUCCAGCGUGUUCAGAGCCUGCAGAGUCAGUCCAGUUAGCCAGAGGUGAGUGGAGCUAAACUUCAUUCUUUUACUUGCACAAUGGAAUGUUUUAGCAUAUCUCAUGCAUCAUGAUUAUGCCAUAGGUUGAGUGCAUUAGUACCCACAAAUAUGUUGCAUUGCAUAGUUAUUUGUUGAUGUGGGUAAAUGCUGAAUGAUCCCAUAGUCACAGACAGGAAGUCCAGGAGUCUUUGACUACGCCCUGGCAAUGGUAAGUACAGAGGUGUUAUAUACACAUAUACAUAUAUGACAGGAAGACCAGGUGCUCGAUUCUACGCCCUGGCACAGAGCUACUGGGACUAUGUGGUGACAGGUUUACUCUUGAUGUGGCUUGUUUGUGUUAUGACACAUUCAAUGAGAUCAUGUUUUACUGAGAUGUUUUACUGUUCUACUCACUGGGCUAUAGAGCUCAUCCCACUCCCUUAACCCCAGUUUUGCAGGUUCAGUAUACAGUGUACAGGGACAGUCCAGCAGGAUACAGAAAGAGUAAAGAGAUGUGUAAUAGUGUAGAGUGGACAUGUAAUGUUAAAGAGAGAUGUAAUGGUUCUGUUUUCAGUUACAGAUGUGCUUGACUUAGUCGUUUGUGAUGUAAAUCUGUUGUUUUGUACAUGAUCUGUCUAUGUAUAUGUUUUCCUGUAUGUGUGAAAAUCAGGCGUAACAGGUAUGAGUUAACCCAUCUAGAGUAAGCUCUAGUCAGGGGUACAGAGUACAGAGUACAGAGUACAGAGUACAGAGAUAGUGCAUGCACAGGUUAAGCCUUGGUUCAGAAAAGAGAUUUUAUUUUUCACAGAAAAUGUAUGAUCAUGUAUGAGUUAUACAAGUACACAGAGAGUAUAGCAGGCUUGCUACGAGUUCUGGCGGCCUUAAGCCGACCUGAAUCCUAGCGCCGGUGACAGUCCAUUUUGGGGUCGUUACAGAUUGGUAUCAGAGCCCUAAGUUCACAUGAUCGGACCUAUAGAGACAGUGUCGGGCUCAUAACAGGUAGCAGUGGUCAAGCACAAUAGGAAAUCAUGUCCACCAGGAUAGGGUCUUGAGUCCUAUCUGUUUCAUGCCAUGAGUUAUGCAUGUGCCUUCUUGCUAUGUGCUGUUUAUGUGCUAAAGUGCUAUGUUAUAUGUUGUGUUUCCAGCUAGUAAAGAUGAGAGGAACUCGUCGAUCAGCUCGAUUGACUGGAGGCCCCCCAGAUAGUGAGAGACCAGCUGCUCGUCCUCCUGCAUUGCCAAGGGCAAGGUCGCAGAGAUCUAGCAGGGAAGGUACGUCAAUAGACCCUAGAAGGUCUGUCGACGAGAGCAGAAGAGGAACAGUGAGGGGAGGAAGAUCAGAGGAAAGGAGGGAAGCGAUGGAGAUUGAUCAGUCAAGAGAUGAUAGCAUGGGUAUAGGCAGUUUUGAGGAAGGUAUGGGAGAGUCGCAGGGAGGUGCUCAGACCUCAGGUUUUGGCUACCCAGAGUAUCCGAUGGGAGGUAUGUCGGAGUACUCUAGUUUUGUGCCAUAUCCUUCUUACAUGCCAUAUAUGCCUUAUCCCUCUUACUACCCACCAUAUCCUAUGUAUCCAUCUUCCCCUACCCAUCCAAGUGCAGCACACCCAGAGCCAAAUGAACCAGUACCACCACCAGAACCAGUAGCCCCUGUUGUUGACAGACAUCAACCUAGCUCAUCUGGAGGUAAGGUACAAAUGACGGAGUACUUGAAAUUGGAUGCUCCUAAAUAUAACACGGGAAAUGAUCCAUUUGAAUACCUCAGAUCAGUUAGGAUGAUAACUAGUGAGUUGGGAGCUGAUGAUAGUAGAGCCAUUGAGAUGGCAGGGUUUACACUUAAAUGCAAGAAAGCCAGAGAAUGGUUUAAGAAUUAUGUGGAACCCAGAAUGAACAGUAUGUCUUGGGGAGAGUUCGCCAAUGAGUUUGCAGGGUGGGCUUUUCCUGACAGUUCUAGGGAGAUGAAAGUAAUUGAGUUUGAACAGUUGCGACAGACAGAUGAGAUGAGUGUUGAUGAAUUCACAGAUAAGUUUCUGGAUUUGCUUCAGUAUGUGGGUCAAGCCUAUGAUACUGAUCAGAAGAAGGCAAGGAGAUAUACUAUGAGAUUGCAUCCCAGGUAUUCUUCUUUGAUUCUUCCAGCAGAAAAGGAGAGUUUCCACACGAUAGUGGACGCCGCCAGGAAAAUGGAAGCUAGUGCCAAUAUUCAGAAACAGUCAAAGGCACAGGCUUCGGGUUCUAAAGCCCCCACUUCAGGCAGCAAGAAAUGGGAUAGAGCGAAAGGAACAAAGAGUAAGUUCUGGAGUAAAGUGAAGUCAGGUCUGGGAAUAGGUAGUGGCUCAAGCUCUGGCACAGCUCCAGUCUGCAGACGAUGCGGAAAACCACAUGGAGGAGUUUGUCAGUUGGGAUCUACAGCUUGUUUUCGCUGUGGACAGGAAGGACAUAUUGCUCGGAAUUGUCCUCAGGUGACUUUUGCACCAUCCCAGCAGAUGAGUUCAGGCAGUGUGGUACAGCCAGUUGUUCGGCCAGCAGCUCCAGUCAUGCCUCAAAGUAGUGGCAGAGGUAGAGGGAGAGGGGCAGCCUCUACUUCAGCAGCAGGUUCCCGAGGUGGAAAUUCGGUAGCCCCAGCACGGAUUUUCACUGUGACACAGGAGGAGGCGAACACGUCGAACACAGUGGUGUCGGUAAUCUCAUCAUUGGGUGUUCAGAUGUGUAUGCUUUGAUGGACCCCGGUGCUUCUCAUUCCUUUAUUGCUUCGAGAGCCAUAGAGAGAUUGGGUUUGAUCAGUUCUGAGUUAGAGUAUCCUCUCUGGGUCAGUGGACCUAGAUGUGACCCAUCAGUGGCAGUGUCAGUCUGUCGUUUCAGUCUAGUGUUCAUAGAGGGUAGAUACCUUCUAGCUGACCUUGUGGUUCUAGAUUUGACGGAUUUUGAUGUCAUUCUAGGGAUGGAUUGGUUAUCUACAUAUAGUGCUACAUUGGACUGUAGAGAGAAGAUAGUGAGUCUCAGAGACCAGGAUGGGUCAGAGUGUGUCUUUAGAGGAGACAGGAGAGGUACACCCAGAGGUAUGAUUUUAGCCCUUCAGGCUCAUCGUUUGCUUAGGAGGGGUUGUCAGGGGUUUCUAGCUCAUGUGAGAGAGCUAGACAGUCAGGUGAGGGAACCAGCCACCGUACCAGUAGUUCGAGAGUUUCUCGAUGUGUUCCCAGACGAUUUACCAGGACUCCCACCUGAUAGGGAGAUAAGGUUUGAAAUUGAAUUGCUGCCAGGUACCAGACCUAUCUCUAUUCCUCCCUACAGGAUGGCGCCAGCAGAGUUACAAGAGUUGAAAGAACAGUUGCAGGAUUUGGUAGAUAAGGGUUUCAUCCGCCCUAGUACCUCACCUUGGGGUGCUCCAGUGCUCUUUGUCAGAAAGAAGGAUGGAUCCCUCAGACUUUGUAUCGACUACAGACAGUUGAACAAGGUCACUAUCAAGGAUAGGUAUCCUCUACCUAGGAUUGAUGAUCUAUUUGACCAGCUAGCUGGAGCAGGUUGUUUCUCUAAAAUAGAUCUGAGAUCCGGGUAUCAUCAGUUGAGAGUCAGAGAGGCAGAUGUGCCUAAGACAGCUUUCAGGACCAGAUAUGGGCAUUAUGAGUUCUUAGUGAUGCCGUUCGGGUUGACUAACGCCCCUGCAGCAUUCAUGGAUCUCAUGAAUAGAGUGUUCAGUGAGUUUCUGGAUCACUUUGUCAUUGUUUUCAUCGAUGAUAUUUUGGUGUAUUCCAGAGAUGCAGAGGAGCAUGCCCAGCAUCUGAGGAUAGUUUUGCAGACACUGAGAGAGCAUGGUUUGUAUGCCAAGUUCUCGAAGUGUGAGUUUUGGUUGAGGAGCAUUGCCUUCUUGGGACACGUGGUAUCAGCAGAGGGUAUUGAGGUAGACCCCAAGAAGAUAGAGGCUGUAGCGAACUGGCCCAGACCCACUACGGUGACUGAGAUUAAAAGCUUUCUGGGACUGGCAGGUUACUACAGGAGGUUCGUGCAGAACUUCUCAAAGAUAGCAGCUCCGAUGACCAAACUAACUCAGAAGAAUCAGAAGUUUGUCUGGUCAGACCAGUGUGAAGAGAGCUUUGAGGAGCUCAAGCGGAGAUUGACCACAGCACCAGUGUUAGCUCUGCCUGUCAGUAAUGAGGAUUUCACAGUGUUCUGUGAUGCAUCUCGAGUGGGAUUGGGUUGUGUAUUGAUGCAGAGUGAGCGGGUGAUAGCUUAUGCUUCUAGACAGUUGAAGAAGCACGAGUNNNNNNNNNNNNNNNNNNNNNNNNNNNNNNNNNNNNNNNNNNNNNNNNNNNNNNNNNNNNNNNNNNNNNNNNNNNNNNNNNNNNNNNNNNNNNNNNNNNNNNNNNNNNNNNNNNNNNNNNNNNNNNNNNNNNNNNNNNNNNNNNNNNNNNNNNNNNNNNNNNNNNNNNNNNNNNNNNNNNNNNNNNNNNNNNNNNNNGUCGUGGUGGAGCUUUACAAGCUCUUAGAAGAAGGGUUACAGUUAGAGUUGUCUGGUACAGGUGCAUUGAUAGCACAGAUGCGAGUGACACCUGUGUUUCUGGAGCAGAUAGCUCGGAGACAGCAUGAGGACCCUGAGUUGAUGAAAAUUGCCAGGACUGUUCAGUCAGGCAACAGUGCAGAGUUCAGCUUUGACAGCAAAGGGAUCCUCCGCUAUGGGAAUCGACUUUGUGUACCAGAUACGAGCAGUGUGAAGGCAGACAUUAUGAGGGAAGCUCAUAAUGCGCGGUAUAGUGUUCACCCAGGAGCCACCAAGAUGUAUCAAGAUCUGAAAAAGGUCUAUUGGUGGCCAGCCAUGAAGAUAGAAGUGGCACAAUUUGUGACAGCCUGUGAGAUUUGCCAGAGGGUGAAACUAGAGCAUCAGAAACCAGCAGGAAUGCUUAACCCAUUGCCGAUUCCAGAGUGGAAAUGGGAGAACAUAGCCAUGGAUUUUGUAGUGGGUUUACCAGCAGCAUCCAACAGGAUAGACUCUAUAUGGGUGAUUGUGGACAGACUCACGAAAUCUGCUCAUUUUCUUCCAGUACGGAGUAACUAUUCUGUGGAUAAGUUGGCACAGGUCUAUCUGGAUGAGAUAGUGAGAUUACAUGGAGUUCCAGUGUCUAUAGUUUCAGACAGAGGACCUCAGUUUACCUCUAGAUUUUGGCGAAGUCUGCAGAGUGCGAUGGGCACGAGAUUAGAGUUUAGCACUGCUUUCCACCCACAGACUGAUGGACAGUCAGAGAGGACCAUCCAGACCAUAGAGGAUAUGCUUCGACUGUGUGUGUUAGACUUUGGCGGUUUUUGGCGGCAGCAUCUACCUUUGGUGGAGUUUGCCUACAAUAACAGCCAUCAUGCUAGCAUAGGGAUGGCUCCUUAUAAAGCUUUGUAUGGGAGGAAGUGCAGAUCCCCUGUUUGUUGGGAAGAAAUAAGAGAGAAGGCUCUUGCAGGGCCAGAGUUAGUAGAGAUUACCAGUAGAGUGGUGCCCGUGAUCAGAGAGAGAAUCAGAACAGCGCAGAGUAGACAGAAAAGUUAUGCAGACGUGCGCAGAAAAUAGUUAGAGUUUCAGGAGGGUAAUAUGGUAUUGCUGAAAGUGUCUCCAAUGAAAGGAGUGGUUCGUUUUGGGAAGAAGGGUAAAUUAGCUCCACGGUACAUUGGACCCUUUGAAAUUGUGCAGAGGAUCGGCAAUGUGUCAUAUAAGCUGGAUUUACCUGCUUCUAUGGCGAGAAUUCACCCGGUAUUUCAUGUUUCUAUGCUACGGCAGUUUGUGUCAGAUCCGAAUCAGGUUCUGAGUGAGCCUGAGGUGGAGAUUCUUACAGAUCUCACCUAUAUAGAGCAGCCAGUGCGGAUUCUGGACACGCAGAUCAGACAGCUAAGAAACAAGGAGAUUCCGAUGGUGAAAGUUCUAUGGAACCACCAUAAUCUAGAAGAGUGCACCUGGGAGACGCGAGAGUCGAUGCUCCAGCAGUAUCCAUAUUUGUUUUGAGGUUAGUUUCCUCCGUUUUUUGUGUUAUUUGUGUUAGUAUCAUUCGAGGACGAAUGUUCUUAAGGGGGGGAGAAUGUAAUACCCGGCUGGAGUCCGGCAUCGGAAUUCUACUUUCCGGUGGAGUCCGGGAUGUCGGAAGUCUCUAGAAGGGUAGGAUUUAUGUUUUCCGACAGUGUUAUGAUGCAUUUGAAGGUUUUUAGUUGAUUUGAUUUGAGUUGGUUUGAGGAAAGGAAGAGAAAAGGCUAUGGAGACUUUUGCCAAGUUCGGCCGCCGAAGGUAAGUUCGGCCGCCGAAAGUGCCCAAUGUUCGGCUUCCGCAGUUCAGAUUCGGCCCCCGAAUGUUGCAUGGUUUUGCAUGCGAUUCGGCAGCCGAAGCUGAGUUGCUCAGCCAACUAAUGAGCAUUCCUGAGUCAGCAUUUUGGACAGGUGUUGGCUCCACACCCUGUCCAGAAGCUUGGCCACGUCUCCUAUAUUGUCCAGCUCCUGCAAGUGUGUUGUUUUGUUGGGUGUCAAAAUUUUUGAGAGUUUGAAGCAAAAAGCUUAGGUUUGAGAGUUUAUGCGUGUGAAGAGAGUUGAUUCAUUUUCUUUGUUCAGAUCGUUCAUCUUCUUGAAUACAGGAGGUAAGUGAAGAUCUUUACAGAAGCUUUAUGAAGGUUUGGGUAGAGAUGCAUGCUUAGGUGACAAAGGGUGUUUUCUUUUGAUGGUUUAGCUUGUAAGCAUGAUUAUGUGUUCUGUGUGAUGUGUUUUGUUGGGGUGUUUAGGUAGUUUUGGACCCCUUUGUACAUAUACAUGAGUAUAUGUGUGUGGAGGAGUUGAGGUAUGCAUGUUUUGAGAGCUUGAAGGGAUGGAGGAGCUUGUUUGCCAUCGGGGCUGAGUUCUGGAUGAACUCAGGUUCGGCAGCCGAAGGUUCAUUCGGCCGCCGAACCCCUUGCAUGGUGGCUUAGGCUGCCACAGCUUGCCCCCGCGAGUUUUGAAUGUUCGGCUCUGUUUGGGGGAUUCGGCCGCCGAAGGUGCCGCCGAAGGUUAGAGACUUUCGUCUCUGGAGUGCCUUUUGGCCCCCGAAACUUGCCCCCGAAAGGGUUCGGCCGCCGAAGCUUGAGAUUCGGCCGCCGAAGGUGCUUGAGUUUCGUCUCUGGAGAGGACUUUCGACCGCCGAACCUGCCGCCGAAAGUGUUCUGUCCAGCUUUCUUUUGCCUGCUUUGCAUGGUUAGUUGAGUGAGUUUAAGGGGAUAUUUGGGGAGGUUAAUAGAGUUAUUCAGAAGCUUGUUUGGUCCCUCAUUUGAGUCCAUCUGUAUAGGUACAGAUCAGAGGAACCAGAGAGAGCAGCAGUGAGUACUGCUCCAGCGUGUUCAGAGCCUGCAGAGUGAGUCCAGUUAGCCAGAGGUGAGUGGAACUAAACUUCAUUCUUUUACUUGCACAAUGGAAUGUUUUAGCAUAUCUCAUGCAUCAUGAUUAUGCCAUAGGUUGAGUGCAUUAGUACCCACGAAUAUGUUGCAUUGCAUAGUUAUUUGUUGAUGUGGGUAAAUGCUGAAUGAUCCCAUAGUCACAGACAGGAAGUCCAGGAGCCUUUGACUACGCCCUGGCAGGUAUAGCAAAGUCCAGGAGCCUUUGACUACGCCCUGGCAGGUAUAGCAAAGACCAGGAGCCUUUGACUACGCCCUGGCAAUGGUAAGUACAGAGGUGUUAUAUACACAUAUACAUAUAUGACAGGAAGACCAGGUGCUCGAUUCUACGCCGUGGCACAGAGCUACUGGGACUAUGUGGUGACAGGUUUACUCUUGAUGUGGCUUGUUUGUGUUAUGACGCAUUCCAUGAGAUCAUGUUUUACUGAGAUGUUUUACUAUUCUACUCAAUGGGCUAUAGAGCUCAUCCCACUCCCUUAACCCCAGUUUUGCAGGUUCAGUAUACAGUGUACAGGGACAGUCCAGCAGGAUACAGAAAGAGUAAAGAGAUGUGUAAUAGUGUAGAGUGGACAUGUAAUGUUAAAGAGAGAUGUAAUGGUUCUGUUUUCAGUUACAGAUGUGCUUGACUUAGUCGUUUGUGAUGUAAAUCUGUUGUUUUGUACAUGAUCUGUUUAUGUAUAUGUUUUCCUGUAUGUGUGAAAACCAGGCGUAACAGGUAUGAGUUAACCCAUCUAGAGUAAGCUCUAGUCAGGGGUACAGAGUACAGAGUACAGAGUACAGAGUACAGAGUACAAAGAUAGUGCAUGCACAGGUUAAGCCUUGGUUCAGAAAAGAGAUUUUAUUUUUCACAGAAAAUGUAUGAUCAUGUAUGAGUUGUACAGGUACACAGAGAGUAUAGCAGGCUUGCUACGAGUUCUGGCGGCCUUAAGCCGACCUGAAUCCUAGCGCCGGUGACGGUCCAUUUUGGGGUCGUUACACUUAUAGCCUCAUUUUUACUUUUCUUCAAUAGAAUAGUUAACCCUUAACGUUAACAAAAAGUAAAAUGUCAGUAAAAUUUGUUAUUCCUAUUUUUUAUAGUCCUAAUUUAUGAUUUGUUCGAGUGUUUGAGAUUUUUUUUAUAAAUUAUUAAAUAUUCAAAAUUUACUGAUUUGACUAAUUUAAAUUCGCGCUGAACAGACCUAUUAAGAGGUAAAACUAUCAUUCUCAAGUUUUUAAAAGUAUUUUAUAGUUUGAAUUUAAAAUCUCUAAUUAAAAGAGAAAAAAUUCGGAUUAUCUCAUCUCAUAUAUCAAAAUGAAUGCUUAAAUUUUAAUUUAGGAGGAGAAUAAAUUUUUAUCAACAUAUAUCUAAUGUUUGAAGGCUUUGAUACUCCCAUGAGAUUGCCUAUGUCUUCUUUUUCUAGUUUGGUGGUUCAACUCCGGUAUUGCGAAAAAUGUUCAGGCUUUGUUAUGCUAUGCUUAUGGAGUUUUCAUAUUCUAACAUCUUAUUUUAUUUUAUAAACUCUUUUAUUUGUUUACACUAUGUUUAGAUAAUAUGUAAUAUGUAGAAAAUAGGAAAGAAGAAAAAUAAUUAAGAAAACUAAUGAAAGAAUUCUACUUUCUAUUUUUAUUUAAAACAGUGGAGAAAAUAAAGCAAAAUAAUCUUUAUUUUACUUUAAUUUUUUUUCUCUCCGGUCUAGAAAGAAACUAGCAAAGAAUUAUGUUUUUUUUUUAAUUUUAAAUUUACAUUACGUAAACAAUAGAAAAAAAAAAAGUAUAAUGAUAAAUUUGUAAAUAUAUAAUCANNNNNNNNNNNNNNNNNNNNNNNNNNNNNNNNNNNNNNNNNNNNNNNNNNNNNNNNNNNNNNNNNNNNNNNNNNNNNNNNNNNNNNNNNNNNNNNNNNNNNNNNNNNNNNNNNNNNNNNNNNNNNNNNNNNNNNNNNNNNNNNNNNNNNNNNNNNNNNNNNNNNNNNNNNNNNNNNNNNNNNNNNNNNNNNNNNNNNNNNNNNNNNNNNNNNNNNNNNNNNNNNNNNNNNNNNNNNNNNNNNNNNNNNNNNNNNNNNNNNNNNNNNNNNNNNNNNNNNNNNNNNNNNNNNNNNNNNNNNNNNNNNNNNNUUUUUUCCUUCUCCUCUUUUCGAUUCUAUUUGACGGAAUAGGGGUUUUUUUGUGGAUUCUCUUUAUCAGUAGUAAUAAGGAGAAGAGUUCACAAAGCUAUGGCGAUUUCUUCUCUCUCUGCUUCAACAAUUCCAUCUUUGAAGACACCGCCCUCACAGCUGACUACUACCAAUUUGACUUCCUUGUCUUCGCUGCAGUUUCCAGCGCAGCUUCAGAGGCUUCAGUUUAGGGUCAGAGGGAUUUCCUCUCCUUCCAGGUCUCGAAUUUUGCAUCUGGUAAUGCUCUUAUACUCGAUCAUUUCCUCCCACCUCUUAUGUUUCGUUUUCUUCUUUUUCCCUUUUUGGAGGAGACUGAAGGAUGCAAAUUAGGUGAUACGGAUUUUAGAAUAGAAUAAUAAUUAGAGGAUGUAACAUAAACAUCUCUUGUUCAAUUUUUACGUAGGUCCUAGGCAAUUGGGUUGAAGUCAAUUUGAGAGAUAUGCUCACAUUCUAUGGAGUUUGUUCUUGAUUUUGUGCAGCUUAAAAAGCUCUGCUUAAGAUUUUAGCUGCUGUCAAUUGGUCUCAAGGGUGUUUAGUGCUUAGUGUUGGAUGCUUUUAUUUGGUCAGUUGGCUGAAAAGGAGAGUAGGAAGGAACUGGGUCCUAUGAAUAGUUACGUGUAGAGUCGUCAUAUUUGUUUUCAAUAUAAUUUCUACAUAUCGGAUGUUGCCCCUACCUCCUGGCAACUGACAAUACUAUUAGAAAAUAUCGGAUCUUAUAGUAAUUCCUCGUGAAAGAAGGAGAAGAAGAAGAAGAAGAAGAAGAAGAAGAAGAAGAAGAAAUAAUGUCAAUGGGAUUUAGAUUGAGGUCAUUUUGGGGCAUAUGAUUCUAUGUGAAAUCCUUAUUUUUUUUCAUUUCCAAAUAUCAAAGAUGAGAAUGAAUGAAUGGGUUUCCCGUUCCAUAUCCUCAUAAACCUGGCAAUUUCUUGGAGUAAUAGUUCAUUUCAUAAAAAUAGUUUUUAAAGACCAUAGUGGAAUUCAGAAUCCACUGGGUGCUUUUGCAAUGGUUCAUUUCAAUUUACUGCUUUACUUCAUUUUUAGCGGUUCUUACUUAUGUAAUGAAUAAAAUAUGUUCUGGAGGAUAUUUUGGCAGUAGUGCAUAAUUGGUGAAGGGCAUUUCUUUUUCUUAAAAAAUUGAAAUUACUUCAUGAAGUCAGUGCUUAAUAAUCUCAAAUCUCAAAUUUUUACCCAUCAACAGUAUGCUGGCAUUUUGGUGAUGUAUACUUUCGAAGAAAUUUAUUCUAUGACUAUGACAGAACUAUCUUUCUUCCUUUUCCAUCUCUAAUUCUGAGUUUAUAUUAUUCUGGGUAUAUUAGAUGCUCCUUCUUACAUUCAAAGUUCUGUCAAUUAGUAUGCUAUAUAUGUAACAACUAUUGUUGUCUUUUAUGCUUAUGCAUGAGCAUCAUGAUCCCUCAUGCUUUCUACCCAUUACACUUGAUCCCUAAGAAAUAAAUUGAGUUGCAGAUUUCAAGUUAGAUACAUGCUCUUUUUUCUUUUUUAUUUACCUUUUAGCUAGACAAAGUAAUUUAGUGGGAGCGGACAUUCGAUAUGCUUAAAGCUUAGUAGGUGAACAAAGUCAAGUCUUCACAAGAACAGCAAAUCUUGAAGAUGUAACUUAGUGUGGAAAGAAAUUGCUUGAUGUGUUGGAUUUGUUAUUCCAGAUAGUUGUUGCCUAGGCUCAUAGUAAUUGGUAUAUUUAGUAGUAGUUUGCAACUUAUCUUUUAGAGUUUGAGAAUUUAAUCAGAAGUUUCUUGACAUUAGAUUGGCAGCCAAACACAGUAUGCCCAUUUGAUUAUGGAACUAUGAAGUUAAUGCCAAUAUUAUGCUUCUGGUUCUUAGAAGAUGGGAUUUUUUUAUGGAUUUUUUAUCUCUCCAUUACUGUAUGUAAUUUGUUGUAAAUGUAAUAAAGAGAAUGCUCAAUCUUACUAGAUUAGAUUGGUCUUAUUAGUUGCUUUAUGUGCUAGUUUCUUUUUGCAUCUGUACUAUAUUGAGUUUAAACAAUUUGCUAAAUGAUUGUGCAGGUUGCAGCAAAGAAGCAAACAUUUUCAUCCCUUGAUGAGUUGUUGGAAAAUGCUGACAAGCCAGUGUUGGUCGACUUCUAUGCAACCUGGUGACUUCCUUUUCGUUCCUUUUCAAUGUGUUUUCUUUCUAGCCUUUCUUUUAUUACAUUUUAUGAGAAAGAAUUGUGUCAUGGAGAUGACGUCUGAUCAUCUUCAAAUCACCUAAAACCCUGCAGUAAAUUCUUCCAUCUUCCCAAUUAAAUAAUUAGAGUUAAUUUGCUGGCCUUAAGAGAUUUUUUUUAGAAUAUGUGAUGAGCAUUUUGUGCUAAAGACUGCAAUGAUGCUGAAUAAGGAUCUUUAAGAUGCAGAUUUUUUUUUUUAAAACUUUGACAUGGGUUGGAAUAGCAAUCAGAGAAUAAGAAUAAAUAGGCCAAGCUGUUGUUUGCAGGUGCGGUCCUUGCCAGCUUAUGAGUCCAAUUCUUGAUCAAGCAAGUGCUGUCCUAAAAGACACGAUCCAGGUGGUAAAAAUUGAUACUGAGAAGUACCCGAGCAUUGCUGACAAAUAUAGAAUAGAAGCAUUGCCUACAUUUAUCAUCUUUAAGGAUGGCAAACCUUAUGACCGCUUUGUAAGUUCGUUCAGUAUCUGUAAGCUUCUUUGAAAAAAAAUAAUUUUACAUCUUCAGGAUGAUAUUCUUGAAAUGCAAUGCUUUUUGUGAGACCAUCAACAAGGGUUUUCUCUUCACGUGUAUCUGAUUGCUGAUUGUCUUGUCAAUGGCAUUCUUUAUGAUAGAAAUUAAAAUAAAAUAUAGAAAAGGAAUAAGUAGGAGAUACUAUAUAUAAAACGUUUGCUACAAGGCUUACAAUCUGAAUCUGCUAGAGCCAGAGGAGAGCAAAUCACUUCCUCUCAAUAUUAUUUAUCCCCAUGCUGCAAUUCUUUCUUUUUAAAUUUUAGUCUACCAUUUGAUGUUUCAACGCCCAUGUACUGUCAUCCAUUUUCUGAUUUUGACUUGUUACUGACCUUGCUGCCUUGGUGUGGUAAUUUCCAGGAGGGUGCUUUGCCUAAAGAUAAGUUCAUUGAACGCAUCGAGAAUUCACUGCAAGUGAAGCAAUAGAUAUGGUAACCCUUGUCCCUUUUUAAGUCUGUCCCUUUCAGAAUGCGUAACCCUUGUCCCUUUUUAAGUCUGCCCCUUUCAGAAUGCAUUUGCAUGCUAUGAGACCCCAUAAAUAAACUCACUCCCAAUUUCGGCGCACAGAUUCUAUGAGGAAUGAAAUAUGAAGCCAUUAUGUGUAAUUUUUUACUAGGAAGGUCACCCAUUCUUCGCCUCCCAGAAUGCUGUAACGAGGGUAAUUGUACCUAAAAGAGUGAUAAACACAAAAAUACAAUAGCAUAUUUGUUUAUAACUCUUGGAAAUUUUGCAAAAAGAUUGUAUUUGUUUUUGAAACAUUUAUAAGCUCCACUCUUUUAAUGGUUACUGGACUUGGUGCAGCCAUCGUUGAUCAGGUCAUGUUAUCUCUUGGUUGAAUAAGUUUAUUCCAUUGCAGUUUCUGGAUCGAUUAGAAAGUUAGGCUACUAAAAGAAGUCCUGGAUUCAAAAUUUUCCACUCAGCAAGAUUGUGUAGGGGCAGCUAUGCAUGAUUGCUUCCUGCCAACUGUGGAAGCUUCAGAUUCUAACCUUUGUAGGGCAGAACCUUGGCUUGGUUUUUUGAUUAAUUUCAUGUUUCUACACAUCUUCCUCAUGUUGCAAUAGUUUAAAAUUACCAAGUUCAACUUUAAGCCAUUGAUGGAGGAAGGAAUCGACAUUGAGCUUGAUAAAAAUGAGAUUUAUUAUUAUUAAUAUUAUUUUAAGAAAAGAUUUAUACUUCGUUUGGAAUUAGUAUAUAGUUUUUCUUUAAGAAAUAACUUUUAGAAAAAAUUCAAUAUACUAAAAAAUUGAGAAGUUUAAAUAUUUUAAAUUUUUUAAUUAUGGUAAUGUAUAAUGGCUAGUCACGUGACAUGCAUUUAUCAGGCAUUUCCUUGUUAGUGUCAUUUUUUGAUAAAUUACAUAAUAAAUUAAAAGAGAGAGAAAGAGGAGAGAUGAAAUCUCGGAAAACGAAUCAAUGGAGAAGGGCAGCUGAAGUAGUGCGAUUGCGUCGGAAAGGGAUUUUUCCCAUUUUUGUGUUUAGGAUUUGUUAUUUUCGUUUGUGGUUUCUAUUUGAUUUGGCUUUUAUUUAAUUUUGGCUUUCGUUUUCUCUUCGAGUCUUCUUGUUUAUUUUCCGUCGCUUUUGAGCAAGAGGUCCGACGCUGUCCUUGAUUAACCCUCAACAAAGGAGGACAACCGGUUUUAGUUUUUAUUUUUAUUUUUUUAUUCUUUUUUUAUGAUUUUUGCAGAUCUACGACGAUCAUCCGCGAGGAUUCGUUCGUUUGGGUCUAAUUUAAUAAAAUCUAUGUUCAUCUAUUAUUUAAUUUAAUUUAACAUACGAUCAUGAUGAUCGUCUGUGGUUUUUAUCAAAUAUUUUUUUGAUAAAAUGUCUAAAUAAGUUUAAUUAAUUUUUUUUAAAAUAAAAAUUUGAAUUUUACUUUUAAAUACAAACUGAUUUUGAUGUAAUAAGUUUAAUUAAUAAUCUAUUUAUUUUUAAACUUUUAAAUAUCAAUAAUUAUAUAAUAUAAUAUCCGUCCAAAGUAUACGAUUAGCUAUUACCAUACGACGGAGCCACAUGCCAAAAUUCUAAUAAACUGUGACGUUCGGUCAUGAAAAUCUUCCAUAAGAGAGGAGAUCCGGUCAUUGUAAAGGUCAAUACUCGGAACAACAGAAAACUCGCCCUUUUAUGACUGGUCGAGUCUUUCUUAACAUUUAAGUUACCAUUAAAAGAUAUUAUACAGCACAUCUCCAUUACGCCUACAAACACGAGAUUUCUUAUCCACUGGCUGGUACUAGUCGGAUUACUAAGAAAAUCACCAACUAACUCCAUUUUCUCACAGUGUAAAAGAAGUAUACACAGAGUUCAAGGUACACAUUAUUGCACACUUUUCUUAAGUUCAAGCAACUUACUUACACUCAUCCUUUCUGAUAAAUUAUUAACUUGAGUGUCAGAGUGAUUGCCAAUAUGCGCCAACCACAUCACUUUCUUUCUUUUGUAGAGUGACCAAUCAUCUUUAGCUCAUUUUCAGCCACAUCAUUUAGUUACAUUACUGAGAUCACCCAUUGAGUUUUCUUGUUCAUUUGGGAUAAAUCCGAUUAGUUUUUUGUUUAUCUUUUCACUCAAAGUGCUUUCCCUCUUUGUCACUUUACCCUUAAAAUGGCUGAAAACUCAUGAGUUGUGGCUAAAUCUAUUACCAACAAAGGAGUCAUCGUCUCCUAUACCCCAGGUAGUGACAGGACACUCCUCUCAUGGUCAAUGAGAUAGACCUCAACAAUCCAAACAAUGAGCAAAUUGUACAAUACAUUAAAAAGCUCCAAGCAACUCUCAAGCAAUAUAAAUCUCGGGAGAAGGCCUCAUUCAUGGCUCCCAGAAUAAGGGAGGAAGUUUCUUUCGAGACCCCAAAGACAUGCAGUCCAAAAGAAAGGCCAAACUAGAAGAUGAGAAAUCAUCAGACGAGACCCCAAAAGAUGUCAAUUGGAAGUAGUACUAGAAGAAGCAAGAUGAAGAUUAUGGUUUGGACAACUCUUCACCCCUAUCAGAGGAAAUUCUUGCAAAGACUUUUCCCACAAAGUUCAAGCUGUCUAGUUUGGACAAAUACGACGGGAUGGUAGACCCUAGGAGUCAUUUGGCUAUCUUCUGAACUACGAUGCAGCUCCAGGAUGUCAAUGAAUUUGUAUUGUGCUGAGUCUUCUCGUCCACUCUCACAGGUUUGGCCUAAAAAUAGUAGCAGCAUUUGAGUUCAAGUUCUAUCUACAAUUUUACACAACUUGCUAUAUUAUUUAAAUCUAAGUUUGCUACUUGUAUAUCUCCUAAAAAAAUCUCCUCCGACUUAUGAAAAAUCCGACAAGGAGAGCGCGAGUCUUUAAGGAGUUUUAUCUCAUGUUUCAAUGUUAAAGCAAUACUGAUUGAAGAAUUGAAUCACGAGAUAGCAUGUGAGGAAUUAAAGAAAAGGACUCGCAACAUAAAAUUUAUGGAUUCGUUAAUCAAGAAUCCAAUAGCCACUUAUUAGCAAUUAAUGGAUAAGGCACAAAAAUACAUUUGGUUGAAUGAUGAAGUCUAGGCGCUAAGAGAGGAUAAGAAGACAUGUCAAAGUAAAACCUAGAAGCCAAAAAGGCAAGGCUACAAAAGAGAUCGGAAGAGGUAUCCCGUGUUUCGAGGGAAAGAAGAUCGAGGUAAGUAAUACACUCCUUUAAAUGACUCACGCACACAUGUUUUGAUGUGGAUUAGAAAAAACGACAAAGAGGUCAAAUGGCCCAUCAAGCUUAACCCAGACAAAGUGAACAUGUGGGACAGAAUAAAGUAUUGUCGAUUUCAUGAAAAUCAUGGGCACACUACAGAAGAAUGCAGGCAACUAAAGGACGAGAUUGAAAGUCUCAUUAGAGAUGAAACUAUAAUGAGAUUUGCUAUAAAAGAUAGAGAAGAAAAAGGGUCAGAGCCUGAGGUAAGAUCACUGGUCAAUCUUGAUGAAAAUGAAUCUGUAGGGGUUAUUCACAUAAUUGCAGGGGAUCAAGUAGCGAUAAGGAAACCAAGGUUUUGUAGAAAUAAAAUGUCAUUAAUAUUCAAUUCCUAAGUCAAAAUCUGAAUCUUUAACAUAGAAGAUCCAAUCCUUAAAAUAGUUUGACAUAACAAGAAGGGAUGCCGAGUCUAGUGAGUUAGGCGAAAACCAGAAGGGACUAUAUAAGGUCUCCAAGGUUAUUCGUCCGAAUGAUUAUAAGUUGGUCAAGUUAGAUGGCUAUGUCAUUUUUUAUUCUUGGAGUAUUGUGUAAUUCAUGGAAAUAUUAUCAAUAAAAUUAUGAUGUAUUUUUCAAUUCUUUUAGUAUUUAAAUUAGAAUUAUCAGAAACGAUAGAUUCAUGAAAGCGUUGGGCUAAAUAAAAUGCCAUAAGGCGGGUAAUCGCCAGGCAAGCCACAAGGCGAGUGACUGCCAAGUGAAUCUUUAGGUAUUAGCCCCAAAAGACAAGGGUUAAGACAAUUUCUAUCAAAAAACGCCACAAGACGAGUGACCAUUAAGCGAGUUUUCGAGUGUUAAUCCUAAAAUAUAAGAAUUAAGGCAAUUUAUGUCAAAGAACACUACAAGGAGAGCAAUCGUCAUACAUAUGACCGAGUUUCAAACCUAUUAAUAAAGUUUAAGGCAUUUUUUGUCUAAACCUCGAGGUGGAUAACUGACAAGCAAAGGUUCGGGUGUUAGCUUAAAUCAUUAAAUAUUUUAAGUUAAUUUUACGCCGUUAUUUUUAUGUUGUUGGUAUCGAUCCUUAUACUUGAUAAAAAUAAAGACGAGAUGAACAAAAUAUUUUCUCAUUAAUGGAGGGAAAAGAUUAUAAAGCAGGAGGGUCUUCUUUGCUAACCCCCUCUUGAGCUCCUAUUAUAUUUUCUACUAUAAUGACAUCUUCAAUUAAAGUCGAAUCGAAAGAAUGGUUGCUAUUUUGCCUCUCCUCUACUUGUUCCUCUUCUUCCUCCUCCUUUGGGAAAAUGUCAUCGAUCCAAGAGAAGUUUUUUGAAGGAUAACGCUUGAUUAGCUCCUUCUUGACAGAAUCUUGGCCUUCCAAAAAUAUUUUCCCACCCCGAGCCACUGUCUAUUGAAGCUCAGCUUCCAGUUCAGCCACCCUAUCUAUGAUGGCUUGGUUCUUUUGAGCAUGAGACUACUGCUCCUGGACUUGCCGUUGAAGGAUAGCCACUUGAUCCUUGGCGGUUUUAGUUCGAUUCUCAAGGGCGAGCUUUGAAGUGUUGGUUUCAUCUAGGUCUGCCUGGAGUUUAUCUACAGACUUGAGGGUCUCGUUCAUUGUGUUCUCUACCUCGGUGAUUCGAGCCUUCAGCCUUAAGUAUUCCUCUCGAAGGAGGUUUUUGUCUGUUUCCUGACUACUGAACUCUCUCCUCAAAGCUUUGUUCCGCUCCUUGGCUAAGUAUGUGCAUAGGAUGCUUUCCAUGGCAGAGUGAAUGAUGUUGUCAUAUAGUUCGUCUAUCUCAACAGCACCCAGACGAUGGCGGUCAUUGGGUCUCAAGGAAUUCUUGGCUAUAAGGAUUAACAACUGGGGUUUCUCAAGAAGCGAGUCCACCUAGGUCAGCGCCAUUGCCAAGUGUUGAAUGCCUUGUGGCCACAGGGCUCCAGUUCUAGCCUCCUCGUAUUGUGCACUGAAUUGAUGGGGCGAUACUAGAGGAACAUCCCUGGAGGAAGACUCGAGUUGGAUGAUAAAUGGCUCAAUUGUAGUUGAGGGUGGAGGAGGAGGAGGAGGCAAAAUGAUAAUCUCUUCUGCCCAUCAUGCCCGUUUUGGAGGAGGGCCCACAGUACUAGUAGUGGACUUUCUUUUUCGGGCAGCACGAGCUACCUUUGCAAACUUGCUCUUUCCUUUACCCGCCAUAUCUGCAUAAAACAGAGAGUGAGCAAGUAAAAUAAUGUAAAGGUAAAAAUGGUUAAAAAGUAAAAUACCUUACUCUGAGGAAGACAAUAAAAUCAUCCUUGGUUUCUGAUAACCGGUUGGCCGAGGCAACUGGGCUCGUUCUAUUUGGAAGUGGCUUUGCCAGGAUAAGGUGGCGUUCCUCACGGCCACGUUAAUGUCCAUUCUGUGGACCGAGGCCAUUUUCUAGAGGAAGUCUAGAGCCUUUUCCUCGUCUCUCUACAGUUGAACUCCACUAUUUGGAAGUGGCUUUGCCAGGAUAAGGUGGCGUUCCUCACGGCCACGUUAAUGUCCAUUCUGUGGACCGAGGCCAUUUUCUAGAGGAAGUCUAGAGCCUUUUCCUCGUCUCUCUAUAGUUGAACUCCACCCUUUUUGAGCUCCACAUAAAUGUUCCAAUCAGUCUGGAGUUGUCUAAAGCCCCCGAACACUCGGUGGUAGACAAUGAAAGACUUAUUUUUUCAAUGUUUCAAGGAAGAGAGGAUAUGGUCAAAGAGAGUCUGACUUUUUUUCGCUGAAGAACCAAAACUCCUUAUUCCUCCGGAUUCCUAGCUAGUAUAGCUGGGAGAAGAGAGCAACUCUCAGAUUGUUAUUAUUAUUGAAGCACACAAAUCGAAAGGCCACGGGAAUCCUCCAACUGUUUGAAUGAAGUUGGGCGACUACAGUUUAUGGAUUUUGAGGAUUUCAAUGAAAAAUGGGUCAAUCGAAAAAUGAAGACCCACCUUCAACUAUUCCUCGUAUACCAUGAUGGUAUCUUGAGCAGUGAUCUGGUCAUUUACGUGAACAUUUAGAUUAGGAGCGGAAAUCAUGAAGAUCUCUUUGGAGAUCUUGUAAUGGUCAUGAAGACUAUCUACGUCCAUCUCAGUUAGCACAAAUGGGAUGUCAUUCACCUGAAGGAUAUCAUUAUCAUGGGCUGACCUCAAUGGAACUACAGGAGCCAGAGCACGAAUGGGGCCGCUGGAGGAAGAGCUGGGGGUUGAACUACAAUGAGAAAAAGAACAAGAAGACAAAGAGGACCUGUUCAUUUCUAAAGUAUGAAAAAAGACAAAAGUAGGAGUUACUUUCAGAAAAUGCAAGAGCCUAAGGCCGAGAGUACUAAUCUUUUCAGAGCAGAAGUGGUGAUCGUAGGCGAAAGGGAGAUUUUAUAUUGUUGUUUCGACAGCUGAUCUAAAUGUGGCUUGAGAAGUAAGGCAAAGCAGUAUUGAUGACUAGUACAGGCGAAAAGAAGUGGAUAUGGAGAAUCAAUUUGUGCAUGUCACAUGUCCAACACCAUGAGAACAGCUAUAAUUUUUGAAUCUGAAGAGUCGAAGUCUGAUGGGAGGACUUCUGAUAUGACACAAUAUUCCCCCAAAAUAUGCCAUUAGCUGUCACCAUACGACAGAGUCACGUGGCAAGACCUUAAUAAACCAUGACAUUCGCACGGAAGUCUCACCCACGAGAGAGGAGAACUUGUCAUUGUAAAGGUCAAUGCUCAAAACGACUGAAGACUAGUCCUCUUAUUACUGGUCGAGCAUUUCUUGUCACCUAAGUUAUCGUUAAAAGAGAUUAUACAACAUAUCCCCAUUACGUCUACAAAUGUGAGGUUUUUUAUCCACUAGCCGAUACUAGUCGGAUUUCUAGAAAAAUCACCAACUAACUCCAUCUUUUUUAGUAUAAAAGAAGUAUACACAGAGUUCAAGAUACGCAUUCUUAUAUACUUUUCUUAAGUUCAAACAACUUAUUUACACUCGCUCUUUCUGAUAAUUACUGACUUAAACGUCAAAGUGGUUGCCCAUAUACAUCAACUACCUCACAUUUUUUCUUUUGCAGAGUAAUCAAUUCAGCUCCUUUUCUACCACAUCAAAAAAUAAAAUCAAUUUUAAAAAAAAUAAACACAGCAAAAUAAUUUUUAAUAUUUAAAAUUUGCAUAAAAUAGAUCACUAUUAAAAAAAUUAAAAAUGUAAUUAUUUAAAUUUGGUUAAUCUUAUCUUUGUCUCUAACUUUGAAUAUAUACUCAAAUUUAUAUUUACUUUUAAAACAUGUUUAAUAUCUAAAAUAUACUAGUUCAUUGAUUGAUGAAUAGUAACAAGCCAAACAACAAGAUUAAUUAAGGCUCAAAGAAAAUAAAGACAAUUUUCUAAAGGAAUUCUAGCAUCCAAGCCCAAAAACUUGACUUAGUAACAGAUCCAAAAAUAAUAUAUGGAGCGCUACUUAUGUUUUAAAACCACUGGCAGUCGAAGGAGAAGGAGACCAUUUAAAGAGAAAGAGAAUUUCAGAACAUAGUCAGGAAGAUAAACUUGUAAAAACACCGACUAGAGACCCAUAAAGAACCUCCAACCACCAAAAGCUUCAAAUACUAUAAGGAACAAGAAUAAGAACUAGAUCUAACCAUUACUGAGGUCACACCAUCAAAGAGAAACGAGGGUUCAACAUCAGAAUCGAGACAAGGCUGCAUCCAGAGUCAAGGAAGGCAACAUGCAAUCCAAAAAUAGCAAGAGAAGUAACCAAAACAGUGAACUAACUAAGCAAAUCUAACCUUAGUGGGAAAGGAGCCGACAAAAAGAAAUGAAGAGUCCUUUCUUAAGAUUAGAGCGACUACUUCACUUAGGAUAAUGGGGAGCGAUAUGUAAUCCAAAUAAAAAAGUAGGGCUACCGCCUUGCUCCACCCCUGAAAGAAAAAAAUUAUAAGAGCACCAUAAUUGAGCAACUCCAACAUGAAAAAGGCAACAAAAAAAAAAAACAAAAAAGAAAAACAAAAACAAAAAUUGACAACCCAACAGAAACUCUCAACUAAGUCUCAUUGCCAACAACAUCAAAACAAGAAAGUAUUUACACUCCACUCAAUAAUGGGAGAAAAAACCCAAAUCGGGAAGAGGGAGGCUCCUAGACCGGAAGGGUAAAAAAGCUUUUAAAAGGCAUAAGCACUAAUAAACCCGAAAAAAGGACUAAAUUAAAGAGAGAAAAAAAAAACUCUCUGGCUAAUGGAGAAAUGAAGCUUUUUGAAAACAUGUUAAACUUUAAUUUAAGUGUUAUUAAAAUCUAUAUUACCUACUAUAUUGACAUAAAUUUUCUUUUAUUAUUUAUAUUUUAAUUAUUUAAAAAAUAAUUUUCAUUUUUUAAGUAAUAUUAAAUUUUUGUAAUUACUUUUUGUAAUCAUUUUGGCUCUACAUUUCAAAAAAAAAAUUAAAAAAAUAUAUAUUUUUUAUUUUUUUAGUGUUUAGAAAUCUCAAAAAAUUUAAUUAAUGAAAAUUUUUUUUAAUUAAAUAAAAAAAUAAUUUAUUCUUUUAAAAAAAAUCAUUUUUUACAUGUUGAGACUCUUAUAAAGCUUUAUAUAUAAAUUUAUUAAUAAAUUUUAUUUUUUAAAUUAAAAUUAAAUAAUAAAAAAUAAGUUAUUUCAUUAAAAAAAUAUUUUUUUAAAUAUAAAUUAUUUUCAUAAAUAAAAUAACUAAACGUAUGAUUUUAUAAAAUUUAAAAAUAUUUUAAUUAAGUUAUUUUGAAUUAUAAAUGAGAUAAUGAAUUUUUAAAAUAUAAGGUUAUGAUAGUAAUUUUUAUUUAUAUUAUUAAAAAAUUGGCUAAAACCUACCGUGCACGUGUAAUCACAUGGACCCUACCCAUCUAAAGCAUACGGAUAUAAUUUAUCUAUUCUUUUUUUGUUUUAUUUUGUUCCUUUCAAUGAAGCAAUUUGCCGACAUCAUCAUCGAGCGAAGGUUAUUUUCUAUAGUUACUUAGUUUUAUAUAAAUAAAUUUAUUUAAUUUAGAAUAAAUUUACUUAAAUAAAAAAUAAAUGUGAUUUAAUAUAAUCUAGAAUUGAUCUCUUGAUUUUGUAAUAUGAUAAUUUAUAAAUUAAAUAAAUUACAAAAAUAUUUUCAAUUUAAAAGAGAAAAGUAAAGUUUUAUUUUGGAAAAAAUUGUGAUAUUUUUUUAAAAAAAAAUCAAAUUGAUAAGCACGGCCAUGGCCGGACAAAGGUCGAGUGUUUGGAUAUUUGAUGCAAUUAGGGGUUUUCAUAGAAACGUGGCUUCUUUUGGUUUAGCUUUCAUGGCCCAAUCAGGCACAGCCACUCGUCAUUCAAAUGUUUAAUGCAAAGUGUAGUGCCCUGCCCUCCACACUACACUUUAUAUUUUUUAUUUAAUUAAUUAUUUAUGCAAACAAAUUUAGACUUAUCGAGCGCAUAAAUCGGUUUGAAUUGAAAAACUGAAUCGAGCCGAUUAAUUUUGGUUUAAUGGUUCGGUUAAUUAAAAGGUUCGGUUCAGUUCGGUUAGUAUUUUUCAAUUUAUUCGAUUUUCAGUUCGAUUCGAUUUAAACGUGUUAAAUAAUUGAAAAACUGAAAAACCGAUUUUAUAUAUAGAAAUACUAAUUUUAUAUAUUUUUAAAUUUUAUAUGAAUUUUUAUGGAUUUUUUAAAUAUUAUUAUUAUGUAUUCAAACAAUAUGUAUUGAUAAAUUUAUGUGAAAUAUUUAUUAAAUUAUUCUACUGAAAUUAAAAGUAAAAAAUUAAAAAAAUUACAGAUUUUUAUUUAAAUCAAAUCGAUUUUUAUCAGUUCGAUUCGGUUUGAUUAUAUUUUUAUAAUCAAUUUUUUUAAUUUUUAAUAUUUUUAUACUUCAGUGUUCGGUUUUUUCGAUUUGAUUUAAUUCGAAAUCAAACCGACCGAUUGCAGAGCCCUACUCAUCACGUAAAAUCUAAAUUCAAAACUAAAUUUUUUUUUUUUAAUUUAAAUUUAUCUCAAAUAUAAGAUAUCCAAAUCCACCACAGAAGUGGAAAGUCAUAUCAUGGUUAUCGCAUUAUCUAAUACAGUUCCUAUCACUGUCUGACCUUAUGCAGUUUUGAUAAUUUUUUAAAUAAUAAUUUCUUAAUUUCUUAUAUUUUAUGUAAUCCGAUUCUACAUAAAUUUUUUUAUUUUUUAUUAUAUUAAAAUAUCUUUUUAAUAUAUAUAUAAAUAAAGUAAAUAAAAAUUAUGAGAUUUAUAAAGUAAUAAAUUUAUUAUUUAUAAUUUUAAGUGUUUAUUUUAUUUUCUAACCAAAGUUAGACAUUGUUUAAAAAUAAUUUUUAUCAAAGUGAGAUAUUUAUUUUAAAAUUUUAUAAAAUAAUAAUACCCUUUGCUAUGACAGCUGAGGAAAAGGUGAGUAUCUGGGGAGUGGAUAUACCGUUUGCCGACACCUUCAAUUCCACUGCUAUUAUGUGGACGCCACUCCACCGUCCAUAUUGAAUCGGACCCACCAGCUCAAUCAAUCCACUUCCUGUCAGUUCAAUUAAAUUAGGUUGUGUUGGGUUAUGUUUUUUUUUAAAAAAAAAAAAUUAGAUAAAAAAUUUAAAUAUUUAUUAAUUUUUAUAUUUAUAUCUUAAUUUUAAAAUUUUAAAUAAUAAAAAUAAUACUUUCAUAUUUAUCUUAAUUUUAACUAUAUACUUUAAUCAAUUUUAAUUAAAAAAUUUUUAAUUCACAUUUUUAAUUCACUCUAAAAUUAUUUUUUAAAAUAUCUAUUAAAUAAAAAAAACAAAACAUUUACAUUAAUUCAUAUUUAUAUUUAAAUUAUUAUCUAAAAUUUUUUUUAUCACCUCUUAAUUAUAAUAAAGAGAAAUAAAUUAAAUAUAAAAAUUAUUAAAAAAUUACAAUAUAAUUUUUAAAAUUUUAUUUAAAUAAUAAAAUAAUCUUUAAAAUACAUAUUUUUACUUUAACAAUAUUCUUUUUUUAUUAAUCUCAUUAUUUAUUUUUCAUUAUCAUUUAUAUAUAUAUAUAUAUAAAUAUAAAUGAUAAUGAAAAAUAAAANNNNNNNNNNNNNNNNNNNNNNNNNNNNNNNNNNNNNNNNNNNNNNNNNNNNNNNNNNNNNNNNNNNNNNNNNNNNNNNNNNNNNNNNNNNNNNNNNNNNNNNNNNNNNNNNNNNNNNNNNNNNNNNNNNNNNNNNNNNNNNNNNNNNNNNNNNNNNNNNNNNNNNNNNNNNNNNNNNNNNNNNNNNNNNNNAUAUGUAAUAUUUAUAUACUAUACUUCAUAUGGUGAAAAUUUAUUUAUAAUAAAUAUUUAUUUAAUAUUAUAUAUAAUAAAUACAAAGUAAAUUUACUUUUAAUAUAAAAUUUAAAUUAAAAAAUUAUAUGUUUAUUAAUAUAACAAGAGAUUAUAUUAUAAUUUAUUAUUAAUUUUUUUUAAAUUUAAUUUAAUCUUUAAAUUAUAAUUAUGAUCGAUCGACAAAGAUUUAAUUUUAUUAUAUAAAUAUUUAAAAUUUUAGAUAUAAAUAUAAAUUAAUGGUUUGAAUUUUUUUAUUCAAUAAAUCUUUUAAAAAAUAAUUUUAUAUACUAUAAUUUUUUUAUUAAAAUUAGUUGAGACAAACGCCUAAAAUUAAGAAAUAUAAAAAAAUUAAUUUUAUUAUCUAAAAUUUUAUUGCUGGAAAAAAUUUGUUUUCUAAUAAUUAUUAAAUUUAUAUAGUAUUAAAUAAUUUAUUAUUUAAAAUUUUAAUUUUAAAAAUAUUUAAAAUAUUAUUACAAUUUUUAAAAAUUUAUUAAUUAAUCUUUUUUUAUUUUAACUAUUUGAAAAAAAAUUUUAAAAUACUCUUAAUUAGAAAGAUUAAUAAAUUUAUAUUUUUAUAAAUUCAAAAAAUUAAUUAAUUAAUUAUUUUAUGUUAUAAAUAUUAAAUAAUAAAAUAUUUAAAAUUAAUGAAUAAUUGAUUAAUGGAUUUUUUAAUACUUCAUUGGCGUUUUUAAUGUGCUUUCAAAAUUAAAUAAUUAACUAAUAAAUUUUUUUAUAUUACAAAAAUUAAAUAAUAAAUUAUUUUUUAUUUUUUAUCUUUUAUUUAAUAAAAUAAAAAUGUAUAGUUUGUUAAUAUUCUUACUUAUUAGAAAAUGAUUUUUAAGUAAAAGAACUCAAAACUGAAAAUUGUAAAUAUUUAUUAAAAUAUUUUUUAAAAUAUUAAAAAUAUAUCAACCAAUUAUUUUAUUAAUUUUAAUUGUUGAAUAUUUUGCUAUUGAGUACAUAUUAUAAAGAAAAACUCAAUAAUUAUUUUUUAAUUUUUUAAAAAUAUUUACUAAUUAAACUUUUGUAUAAUAUUAUUUUAAAAUUUUUUUAUAAUAUUUAAGCGUUAAAAUAUUUUAAUAUAUUUUUUAAAAUCAAUAUAUUAAUUAAUGAAUUUGCAUUUAAUUUAAAUAAAUAAUAAAAAUAAAAAUUGCUUUUAAUUUAAAAAAAAUAAAAAUCCUAUAGUGUUAUAAAAAUAUCAUUAGUUAAUUAAUUUUUUUAUCAAUAAAUAUUUAGAGAGGGAGAUGAAAAUCAAAUUCUCAUUACCAGUAAGUUUUCAGAUAUACUUUAUUAACCUAUUUAAUAAUAUAACAAAUAUUUAUUAUCAAUAAAAUAUUUUCAUUUGAUUUGUUCUACUUAAUGUCCUAAACAAUAAAAAAUAUGCAAAAUAUUUUUUUUAAAAAUGUUUACAUAAAUAAUAAUUUAUUUUCUAUAAUGCAAUUUAAAGAAUAAAAAAUAUUAUAAAGUUAUAUAGUAAUUUAUAAAAAAAAUUGUCAAAAAACAGAAACUGAAUUAUUUUUUAAGAAACAAUAUUAUUUUUUCAAAAAAAUUAAUAUCUCAUUUGUUAAUAAUAUAUUUUUUAUUAAUUAUUUUUUUUAGUGUAUCAAAUAUUAAAAAUAUAAAAAUAAAUUUAUAAAUAAAAUCAAUGGAUACUAAAAUCCACUUUUAUUUAUUUUUUAAAAGAAAUAAUUAAUUAUCUUCCCACAUUUUCGGUUAGAAACUGAAAACUUCUUCAGAAGUGGAUAAUGAUCCGUCAACUCCACAAGUCCUAAGACCUGGGCCAAAUCGCCCAUGUCGUUUUGUCCUUUUAUUUGAUCUUUCUUUUUUCUUUCUUUUUUCAGCCAAAAAAAAAAUAUUUCGAGAAUAAAUUGUUAAGAUUUUUUUCCCGAAGAAAUUGAAAAAUAAAAAAUAAAGGUAAGAGAUUUUUUUUUUUUCCCUUUUAAAAUUUGAUAGAAAAUUCAACCAUAAGUAGAAAAUUGAAAUAGAUAUGCUUUGGGAAGAACCAGGCUUCCAUCGCUUAUAAAUAGCCUCCACACCUGCAAUGUCUCUCUCUCACAACACACCAUACCACAACCCAAAUCCUUCUAUUUGUCUCUUUUCUUGUGCUUAUUGCUUGAAUCACCACCAUGGCCGAAGAAAAGCACCGCCACCACCUCUUUCAUCGCAAUAAGGACGAGGAGAAACCCACUGGGGCCGCUGAUGUCUACUCUCAGACUUCUGAGUUCUCUGAGAUUACGGAUUAUCCUAGCAGCUAUAAGACUUCUGAGUUCUCUGAGACUACGGAUUAUCCUAGCAGCUAUAACUCACCACCUGAUGCUCCAGACUACGAAAAAGAAGAGAAGCAACACAAGCGUCGCGAGCAUUUGGGCGAACUCGGUGCAGCUGCUGCAGGUGCUUAUGCCUUGGUACUAUACUCUCACUUUUUUUUUAUUUAUUCUUAUUUUAUACUGUAGAUUUCGAUCGGUACUUCAACUCGUGAUCUUUUAUAAUUCAGUACGAGAAGCAUGAGGCAAAGAAAGAUCCUGAACAUGCUCACAGACACAAGAUAGAAGAGGAAGCAGCAGCAGCAGUGGCGGUCGGAGCUGGCGGAUUCGCCUUUCAUGAGAAGCAUGAGAAGAAAGAAGCCAAGAAAGAAGAUGAAGAAACUCAUGGAAAAAGACAUCACCAUCUCUUCUAAGUGUGCUUAAUCAGUUAAUCAAUUAUCUGUGUGCUUAUACGUACGCUAUCAUCUCACGAAUAAUGAAAAUAAAGUAUUUGUGUGUGUAAAUGUGGCUUUCAAAAGCCAAGACUUCUGCAGGUCUGUUAGUAUUUUGUAGCUCUGUGUUUACUUCUAUAUUUUUAAUUAUAAUAUUUAUGUUAUAAUAAUUUGCUUUUCACUUUUCUUAUUAAUUAAUAAUUUUCUUUAAAUUAAUUAAAUUUAAUUAUUUAAAUGCUUAAAAAUAAUUAACUAUUUGGCAGUAGGUAGCUAGAUUAUCAAUCAAGUCAUGUAUAUAGAACUAACCUUCACCUAAAUGUGAACAUCACCAUUAAUUUCCUCCACUUCACACUCCACAUAUAAUAAAUAUUUCAACUUAUCAAUCAAAAUAAGUUUUGAAAGGUAGUUCUGCGAAUUAAUAUUUAUCGAGAAUAUUUUAUUUUUUAAUGAAUUAAUUCGAUGCAAAUAAAAUUUAAUUUUAAUUAUAUAUUUUAAAUGAUAAAUAUUUUGAACCGUAAAUACGUGUGAAUAAUAAAAUAGUUAGUUGAAAGAGUAAAAUUAAAAUUAUUUAUAAUUUUGGCUUUCAUUUAAUUAACUACAUAUAUAUACACACUAAUUAACUAGAUUUAUUUAGUAGGAAUGAGUACUAUUUGAUUUAAAUUUAAAAAAAUUGAAGGAACUGAAUUAAUUUAAAAAUUGAAUUAAUUUUUUAUUUAAAUUUAUUUGAUUUAUAAUUUUAAAAAUUUUAAUUAUUUUAAUUUAAUUUUAAUAAAAAAAAUUGAAAAAAAAUCUAACCCAUCAGUAAUAAUAAUAUAUUAUUUUUUAUAAUAUAUAGAGAUUAUAUCAUAAUUAAUAUUAAAAUAUUUUAAUUAAAUUUUAGAAUAUUAAAAAUUAAAAAAAAAAUUAUUAAAAAGUUUCGCUAAUCAAAUCGAAUCAAACCAAUUUUAUUCAAAUUGAUUUCUUUUUAAAAUUUAUUUAAUUCAAUUUAAUUAAUUUCAAUUUUAAUUUAUUCAAUUUGAAUGGAAAGGUGGGAAUUACUUCUUCUCCCAAAAUCUUUAAUAUAUGAAAAAAAAACCUAUAUCUAUCAGAUACAAAUGGAUUCAAUUGUAAACUUCCAGCUUUUUUUCAUAUAUAUUAUAUGUUUUGGCGUGUGGGUUACGUAAUUAUAUUCUUUUAAUAAUUAAUUUUAAUUAAAAUUUAAAUUCAAGAUUUUACAAAAUAUAAAAAUAACUCUUCUAUCUUAAAGCUCCAUGUCAUAAGUUAAUUAAUUAAUAUUAUUAUUAUUAGCUCACCUAUCUCUCUCUUCUUCUUCUUUUUCUAAUUUUUAUUUUUUGGGGUCAAAGGCUCACUUCUGAAAUUAAAUAAUGGAAAGCUUGUAUUUGCAUCUGGUGUAUAUAUCUUAUGAGAUCCCUCCACCUGUCUUGAAUAGCCACAUCCCCACAUGAAUUUUAUAAUAAUAUUGAAAAAGGUCCCACAAUUUAACCUGUAUCAAAUUAUAAAUAGCUUACCCUAAACUCUUUCAAAUCACACCCUAAUCUUAUUUUGAUCGCUCAUUUAUACUAAUUUCUGCUGCUACCUACAACUAUGGCAGAAGAGAAUAAGCACCACCACCUCUUCCACCAUCACAAGGAAGGCGAAGAAGCUGUUGACUACAAGAAGGAAGAGAAGCACCACAAGCAUCUGGAGCACCUCGGUGAACUUGGUGCUGCUGCUGCUGGCGCUUAUGCCUUGGUAAUAAUUAAUCUUUUAUUUUCUUUCUUACAUGAUGAAUUUACUUAAUUUUAUAUUGGGUGUGUGUGAUCAGCAUGAGAAGCACCAGGAGAAGAAAGACCCAGAACAUGCCCAUAAACACAAGGUGGAAGAAGAGAUUGCUGCAGCUGCUGCUGUAGGAGCUGGGGGAUUUGCUUUCCACGAGCAUCAUGAGAAGAAAGAAGCUAAGAAAGAGGAUGAAGAAGCUCAUGGGAAGAAGCAUCACCAUCUCUUUUAACUUCAUAUAUAUUUGUAUUUGCCUGUGUUUGUGUGUGUUUAUAUUGGAUUUGCCUUUGCAUGUUCUUCCCUGUAAUAGAUGCUUCUCUUCUUUGUGUAUUAUCUGUGUCAAUGUCAAAUGUUUCUACUAAUUAAAUAAAAUUUUGUUUACUUUUAGAUUUCAUAGUUUGAGUUUUUAGAAGCAUCUUGAAGUUGAAUAUUUGAAAAUGAUUUUUUUAUGAUUGUUAUCAGAACAAUUCUAAUUAUUUAAAUUGAAUUUAUAUAAAAUUUAUUUAUAUUAUAAAUAUAUAUGGAUCCAAUUUUAAAUAAGUAUUCUUUCUGAUAGCUUGAUCGAAUCUUUUAAAUAAAAAUAGUUAUUAUUAUUAUUUUUUGGUAAGUGUAUUUUUUUGCAAAUUAUAAUAAUAUAAAGUUUUAUACUUCAAAUCUAUAUUUUAUGUCCAUUUUAUGAAAUCUGUGUUGUUUUCUCAAAAUAAGCUUCUAGCAUUGAGGGUUUUGUUUCGAAAUGAAAGAGAUUAAAAAACCUGGCAGAAAAAAAACUAAAAUUCAUUUUUUAUGUAUAAAGGCAAUCACAUUUUUUAAUUAGUAUGCCCACAUGUGAUCACAUUUUUUACAUGACUCGAUUUUUCAUUUUUUAGUAUACCUACUUGCAAUCAUAUUUCUGAUAUGACUUGAUUUUUCAUUGUUUGGUAUACCUAUAUACGAUCACAUUUCUGACAUGAUUCGAAUUUUUAUUUAACUGCAUAUCAUUAUUAAAAAAUACAAAUUUUUAUUUAAAUCUAAAAAUGAAAAUAUUUGAUACUUUAAAAUUUGAAAAAAAAAAAUGAGAUAUCAAUCUUCUGAUACUUAAAAGUAAAGAUGUGAGUGUUUUUCACACUCAGUACUCUAAUAUUCGAUUUAUAUUUAAUACUCAACAAUAAUACUCGAUCACUUGAUAAAUAACUAGUUAUUAUUAAUUGAUCAGCUAAUAUUUAUAAUAUUUUUUAUUUUUAAAUUUAUAAUAACGCCAUUUUCUUUCAUUGUAUAAAUUAAAACUUAUCAUAUUUUAUGUAGGCAUCUCUAAAAUACUAAUUAAAAUUUUUAUAUUUUUUAUUUUUAAAUUAAAUUUCUUAUUAACUUGAAGAUCAGAGUCGAUUAUCACUGACGUCAUCCGCAUAUGUUUUUUAGGAAUUGAUUAUUCAUCACCACAUGUACCUCAUGUUUCCUAGAAUAUAUCAAUUGAAUUUAAUAAAAAAAACUGCAUUAUAGUAUAAUAAAUAAUAAAAUAAAAUAAUAUUUUAAAUAACGAAAGAAAAGGGAGUACCUCAAUAAUAAAAAAAAUAUUAAAAUGAGUAAAAAAUAAAUAAAUCACAUCUUAGGCUUUCUUUAUUUAAAAAAAAUAUUUUUAAAAAAUAUUUUUAUAUUUUCUGAUAUUUAAAAUAUUAAAAAAUUAAUAUAAAAUAUUUUCUUAAUUAAAAUUCAAUCACGUUUAAGAAAAAUUAAUUCUUUUUUGAAAAAAAAAUAUUUUUUUACAGUUAAAAGUCUUAUUAAUAUUAAUAUAUAUAAAUUUAUUGAUAUAAUUUUUAAAAUAUAAUUUUUAAAAUUAAAAGUAAAUAAUAAUAAAUAAUUUAUUUUAUUAAAAUUAUUUCAAUAAAUAAAUUUUUUUAUAUAAAAUAUUUUUUAUAAAAAAAUCAUUAAAUAUAUAAAAAUUAUUUUUUACAUACAUACAGAUUUAGAGUACUAUGUAACUUAAUGAGCCGGUAAUUUCAACCAUUUAAAAUAAAAAAUUUAGUGAAUUAACGUAUUUUUUAAAAAGUUAACUCAAUAUAUUAUAAUAUUAUAAUAAUUAAAUAAUAAAUUUUUAAUUUUAUUAUUAAAAAUAUCAAGAUUUGACAUAUUACAAUAGCGGCAGAUAUAAGCAAUGGAAGUUGGGUGAAGUGAUAAAGCUGGGCAUAUCCAUCAAAUAUGAUUGUAGUUCUCUUGAGAAAAGUACCAGCAACCUUCCUUGAUUUUACAGAAAAUACUUUUUUAGAGAAGUAUUUUCCAUUUUUCAGGUUCUUGCAUGUAUGGUCUUGUGUUGUUUCUUUUGACUUUCUCCUAACUUGUGUACGGCGGUGAUCGCGAAACACUCUCCUCUUGUUGGCAUCGAUCAUAUUUGAAGAUAGGCUAUUUUGGUCCGGCGUUGUACUUGGAGGUGAUUGUGGACGUGCUCUCCUUUCUUGAUCUCACACCAUCCGUUUAAGCGUGUGCUUUCAUUGCCUCCAACUCUGGUUCUUCGUUAAAUCAGGCUUUCACGAGCGAUGACCAAAGAGACGAGAGUUGGGGGUAACGCUUCUAGAGUUCGCCUUUUGGGUCAAGAUUUGGGUCAUUUGGCUAUUAAAGUCUUUUAUGUCGUUAAUGGGUUAGUUUCUAUUUAUGGGCCUUGACACCCAUAAAAAUUAUGAAAAAAUAAUAAAAUAAAAUAUAUUUAAAAUAAAUAUAAUUAAAAUUUUAAUAAAAAAUUAUUUUUUUAAAUGGAUAAAAAAAAUUCAUAAAAAAAUAAAAAAAAUAAAAAUUACAAAAAAUAUGGAAUACUUAAAAACUAAGGAAGAUGUGUUAAUUAACACAUCUUAUGCACAUGAAUCUCAGAUAAUUUAUAUUCAUCACAAGUUUAAAUUAUUAACCAAAUCUGAAACGAACAGUAUAACUUCACCGGCACUGUGUUAAAGACUUGUAGUGCUGCAUUCACACAAUAAGAUUUAUGAUCAUCAACAACUCAAGUUUAAUUCUUUUAAAUAUCGAUUUAACCAUAACUUUAACAGUCAAAUUUCAACCAAAAAAAAUCUAAAAAAUGUUACUGUGUCCAAUAAAAAUAAAACACUCAAAAAGACAAUUGUUUAAUUUUUCUCUGGAAUCAAACACCACAUCGAAAAAGACUUUUGUAGGAAAACAAGAAAGGAGUCAGAAAUCUCGUGUGGAAAGUGCCGCUCAUUGCGCCAGUCUUACGAGAGAUUGGAGCUGCGUUAGCACAAGAGUUUCAUCACUCUCUCUGAGAAUCUGAGUAAUCCACCAAGAGAACAACUUAACAAAUCCAUUGAAAACACCCGGUGGCUCAAAUCCGAAGAAUGAAAGAACGAAAAAGAAGAAAGACAAUUCAAGAGAGAGAGAGAGAGAGAGAGAGAGAGAAAGAAGGAUCGCGAUCUCUUCCGGCUCAGCGACGGUGCGAGGCGAAGCUGAAGUUGGCGAUUUAUAGGGCUCGUGAGUCUUGCCUAUGGCUUAUAUAGUGGGAGCUGGCUAUCUUGUGCUAGGUUUGCCCUAAUUCACAACUGAAAAUUGAUGUUAAAACGGUUUGUCGUUUAAAUGUGCUUUCUUAAAUAACCAAUAAUAACAUUUUAUUUAUGCAAAUGCGUAUAUCAAAUAUUAAAUAAAUUGUUUGAAAUUAGUUAAAUUUUCAAAAUUUCUUUGUAAGUGUUAAAUUAAUUAUUUUUAAUUUUUAUCUAAAUUUAUUGAAAAUUUCAAUUUAAAUCUAUUUAAUUUAAAAAUAAAUAGGAGAAUGAUUUUAUUAAUACUUGAAAUUAAUCAAUAAAUUAAGAAUUUUGUUAAAAUUUUUUAGUUUGAUGUUAAAUUAAGUUUAAUCUGAAGUCUGAAUUAAUUUAGAAAAAAAUUAUAAAUGAGUUGAUAAAGGUAAACAUUUAUUCAUUUGAAAUCUUAACAUGUCCAGUUUAAUUUGAAAAUGAACAUUAUAAAAAUAGAUUAAAAUGUCUUAAAAAUCCAAAAGUUUAGCCGCUUAUCAAUUUUAACUGUUUUAUUUUUAACAAUUUUUAGCCUGAUUCGAAAAUUUUAAAUUUAUUUUUAAAAAAAUAUAAAAAUACACUAUUUUUGCUUUAGAGUUUAUAAUUUAAUUUAUAUCAAAAUAUCAUAUAUUAUAUCAUGUCUCUACCAAAUUGUGAUAAUUUUUUUAUGCAGUCAAAAAAUACUAUGUGAUAAUUAAAAUAUAAUUAUUAAUUAAAAAGUAAAAAUAUAAAAAAAUAUAUUGUGAUUUCUUCAAUUUUUAUUUUAAUAUUUGUGAUCUAAUGUGUAUUAAAUUAGUAUUUAGUGAUAUAAUUUUUAUAGAUUUAAUCUAUGAAACAUGUAAAUCUAACUUUGUAAAAUACAUUUUCAAUAUUUUAUAAGAUUUCAAAGGAUCCGAUGUAUUUUGGAGCUAAUUUAUCUUUCUUUUCAAAAUAAAUCAUCUUUUUCGUAUGAGACAUUUUAAGCAAUACCAUAUUUUCCUCCUAAAUGACAACUUGCUUCUUACGUAUGUCUGCAUAACUCUUCGACCUACUUACAGUUGUUCUGAUUAUUUCUCUGAUAAUGGGCACCACCCUGUUGGUGGUUUCUACCAAUUCUAGUCCUACUAAAACCCUUUUUUUUCUACUUCUUCCCAACAAACAAGCGAUCUGCACUUUUUCCCAUGUAAGUUUCAUAUGGAGCCAUCCCAAUACUAGCAUGAUAACUGUUAUUAUAGGCAAACUCAACUAAUGGUAGAUGUUGCCUCUAAGAAUCACCAAAAUCUAGCACACAUUCUUAAUAUGUCCUCUAUGGUUUGGAUAGUCAUUUCCGACUGUCCAUCAAUCUGUGAGUGGAAAGCAAUGCUAAAAUAUAACCUUGUGCCUAAAGUAUUCUGCAGACUCUAUCAAAAUCUAGAGGUAAACUGGAGUCUCCCAUCUGACACUAUAAAAACUAGAGUCCCAUAUAGUCUGAUGAUUUUUUUCACGUAGAUCUGUGCCAAUUUAUCCACCGAAUAAUCACUCUUGACAAUAAUAAUGUGAACAAAUUUGAUCAAUCUAUUCACUAUUACCUAUAUAGAGUUGUGUCUCUUGGACGUCAUUGGUAAUCCCACUACAAAAUUCAUUGUCAUGUUUUUUCAUUUUUAUUCUUGAAUGGGAAAAUUACUUCUUAGUCCAUGAGAUUUAACGUAAUUAACACUUCUGUCCAUCUAUUUUGGCGACCCAACACUUAAGUCCCUCACUUUCUCUUCCGUCCAAAUUCAUAGUCAUUUCGUCCAUUUAAACCGUUUGGUCAAAGAGUCAAAGGUGAGAGGUGAUAAUUUUUUCCAAAAAUACCCUUCUCUCAGUGUGAAAUUCUUAUUUUUUUUCUCUUUCAUGUUUUCUCCGGUUGUAGAAGAAGAAGAAGAAGAAGUUGCAAAAAGGGUAGGAAGAAGAAGAAGAAGAAGAAGAAAGAAGUUGCAAAAAGGGUAGGAAGAAGAAGAAGAAGAAAGAAGAAUAAGAAGUUGCAGAAAGGGUAGGAAGAAGAAGAAGAAGAAGAAGAAUAGGCAUUUAGGUUUGGGUUUUGUGAUUUUGAAAUAGCGGGAUUUUUAGUGAGGGUUAAUUUUGUCAAUUCACGUGUCCCAAACGGCUAUUUUUGACGGAAAGACUAUGAAUUUGGACAGAAAAGAAAGUGAGAGAUUUAAGUGUUGGGUUGCCAAAAUAGAGGAACAGAAAUGUUAAUUACGUUAAACCUCAGGAACUAAAAAGUAAUUUUCCCUUCUUGAAUCAAUAGUGGGUUGAGCAUUUCAACUUCACCCUCUAAUACACUUCACAAGCGGACAUGGGUAGAACUGCUUAGUGAUUAUUAUUGCAAAAUUCAGUAUUAUUCGGAUAUUAAAGUUGGUAUAUGGACCGGACAAAACUCGCCUUCUUAACUUUAGGGCGAGACUCCAUAAGAAAGUUAUUGUUAACAACUAUAAUCCCGCAGGUCUUUUUUAUACUUUCGAUCACAGGAUUCCAGACCAAUUAGCCAGUGAAGAUCCUUUACCAACAAGCCAGCUACGUUAUUACAGAAUUAUUAGAAAAUAUUAUAUUUAUCCAUAUCUUCUUACCGUAUAAAAGGAGAUCAAUCAUAGAAGUAAAUGUACGUUGUCCUCUCACACCACUACUCUUAAGUUCUAAAUAUUAUACUCGCUCUCUUUUCAUUUUACUAACUUGAGCAUUGAAUUGGUUGUCGUGAGUACCCACUACCUCAUAUUAUCUUUCUCAUAAGUUUAGUCAAUCACAACACAGUUAUAUUUCAGCUACGUCAUCAAUCUAAUCUCUAUAACGUUAAUUUUAUUUUUUAACUAAUAAUUAUAUUUUAAUUGUCACGUUAACAUUUCUUGAUGGUGUUAAAAAAUUUACGCUAUUUUCUAAUGAAAUGAUAUUAUAAGUAAUAUUUUAAUGUAAAUUAAACUCUAGAUUGUAAAGUAAAAAGAGUGAAAUCGCAAACUAUUUUUUUAUAUUUUAAAUAUAUAAUUAUAAAAAAUUUAAGAUAUAUAAAUAUAUAUAUAUUUUUUUGCAAUUAUCCACCAAAUUACCUCUUUUCAGGCUAAAAAAAACAGGCAACAUAGGAGAUGCGGGGCCCACCACAGUACUCCGGAGAUAGGGUAAAACGGCUUCGAACAGAAACAACAUACGUGCAUAGCAGUCGAUCUCUAUAUACAUCUCCGAUCCUCUUUUUUUUCAUUUCUCUCCAUCUCUGUUCAGUCUCUUUUCUCCAUCUCUCUAUCUUUAUUUCUCUCAGGCAAGUUCUUCAUCUAUCUCUCGCUUUUCCAUGUUCGAUCUCACUCUGCUUUCAUAGAUGAAUGUAUAGUCUGUUAGGUCGCUGAGAAAAUCUUAACCAGAAAUGAAGUUUUUAGCUUCGAAUUUCAUUGUUAUUAGCUAUUAUUUAGACCCGAAGUUUUUGUUUUUAACCCCGUUUUGCUCUUGUUUCUCAGCUUCUGAAUAGGGCCCUAGGGUUUUCAGUUUUCGCAUACUCUAAAUGAUUUAUUUUUUCCACCUUUGGGGUUUAACACCGUCUCGUUUUGGUUUACUGCGAUAGUUUUUUUAUUUCUUUAUUCGGACCUUUUACAAUUAACUUCUUGAAUACUCAUUAUAAAUUGCUUCUGAUUUAUUCAUGCAUUGCAGGAAAUAAGAACAAUUACGUUGUACAAAUAGUUUGUCUAGCUUUUUAAACGAUUAAUUACUGAACUUGAUUUAGUUUUUUACGCAACGUCCCUUUUUAAUUAUUACAUACUAGUCCAGUGUAAAACUUGCUUUUUUCGUUUUUUAUUGUAAAGUUGUUCAUUUGAGGUCUGCAUUAGCAUUUUCUUGUGUAAUGCUUAUAAAUGGAGUGAUUUGGUGUAGUUGAUUCCAUUUUGGGUGAGAUACUUACAUUGUAUAUGUAGCUCUUUUAGAUGCUUAAACAUAAAUUACUGAACUUGAUUUGGUUUUUAUGCAACUUUAUGUUUUUAAUGAUUAAAUCUGGUCUACGUGUAAAACUUGCGAUUUCAGUUUUCGAAUGUGAACACUGUUGUUCAUUUGACUACUGAAUGAGCAUUGUCUUGUGCUGUUUAUUGGUGGAGGGAGCUGGUAUAAUUAGUUGCUUCCCUUUUGGUUGAGAUACUCUUCAAUGAGAUAUGAUGCUUUGGGUACUGGAAAUAUGAACUGUGGGAUUGCUUUUGUAGCAGGGUGGUACAAAAUGGCAGAACUUUCCAAAGUCAUCCACGUACGCAAUGUGGGGCAUGAAAUUUCUGAAGUAAUUUCUCUCUCUCUUUAUUUUGGUUGCUCAUGUGUAUAUGCACAGAGUUAUUCAAUGAAGGGUAUUGUCUUUUUAUUUAUACAAGUGUCACAUGUUUUCAAAAUGUUUUUUUAUGAUUGAUGAUAAGGUGUUCACCCUAAAUGUAAAAGAUGUUUUGGCAUGUUACAUUCACAAGCAGAAGUGAACGUUUACAUUAUGAUUAGAAUGGAGUUUCUCCUUUGCAAAUAUGAAUAUAGAAACUCAACUUACUAAAUAUAGAAAAUUGUAUAAAUAUUAUUCACCAUUAUACCAUUUCUGCAAUUGUCCAGAGUGAUAGUAAAACUUGGAAAAAUUCAACCGUUUUCUUGUAGAAAGUCUCAAUUGAACUGGUGAAACCAAUAUGCAAUAGGAUGAGAAGAUGAUAAUUAUGGCAGAUAAAGAUAAAACAAUGAAAAAAUCCAUAAUAGGGCACACUUUUUCUGGGAUUUUCCCCCUCUCUUAUUACAACUUGAGUUAUUGCCUUAUUUGCAUGCAAUGAACAUAAGGAUUCUUCUUCUAUCAAACAUAGAUUUGUAGCAUAAGAUGAGCUAAGCUGCCAAUUAUUAGGCCUGAGCCUGAGCUAUAUUCCUGCUGUUAGCUAAGGUUUAGUAUAAUCCAGUCUCUGAGUGAGAAAUACUAGAUUGGGCUUGAUUUUACAUACUUUUAAGCAGGAAUAUCUCAAAUAAAAUGGUUAUUUUGUUUAACUGAGGCUGAGUUAAUAUUGUGUCCUAUAUGCUAUAGUUUAUCUUAACCACAGAAUGCCAUAAGGCAUUAACUAGGAAAUUUGUUGGAUGAACUGAGAGGUUGUUCCAUAUUGGUCAGAACACUUUAUAUUCUUAAGUGGUUUUGAACUUGAGUGUAAUAGGAAACUACUGUUUUGUGUGAGAAUUAUUUUGUCGCAAUCAAAAAGCGCUCAUCUUUUCUUCAGGAGAAGGCCUUGCAGUUUUUUCCUCUUCUCUCCUUUUUCUUGAAAAAUUGAUCAGAUUAUGGCAUGUUAUCUCUUUAAUCAGCUGAGCAUAUUUAUCUCUGAUGCUUCAUGCGAUACCCUUUUCAGAAUGAUUUGCUUCAGUUAUUCCAGCCAUUUGGGAUCAUAACAAAACUUGUUAUGCUUCGUGCUAAAAAUCAGGUUUUUAUUUUCUACUAAUCAGAAGUGGCUGUAAUUUCUAUUUUGAGCUUAAGCAAAAUGCACUAGAGCAUAUUGUGUUAUUCCAACUAUAUGUGCAGGCUCUCCUCCAAAUGCAAGAUGUUGCUUCAGCCAUGAAUGCUCUGCAAUUCUACUCAAAUGUCCAGCCAACCAUAAGGUAUGCCAAUUUGCAUAUGCUUGUUAUGGAAAACUUGGCAUUGAGGAUAUUUCGUUUUUGUCAUUGUAGAAUCUUGUGAUCUAAAAGGAGCUAUCAAAGGCUUUAUUGUCUCAAGCAUUCAAAUUUUAAUUACGUUGUGAAUCUACUUUUGUUCUAUUAGGGGUAGAAAUGUUUAUGUCCAAUUCUCAUCGCAUCAGGAACUAACCACAAUGGAUCAAAAUUCUCAAGGACGAGGAGAUGAGGUUGGUGCUUCAUACUAAUAUGUUUAAGUUGAAAAGUAGUUGUGUGGUUUAUAUUUAUGCAUAAAGCAUUUUAAGGACCAAUCCUUUGUGGAAUUGCCUUUCAAUUGUUACAUACCAUUAGUUGAUGUUGGCUUAAAAUGUUAAACAAUGAAGAUUUUUUUCCUAAGAAGAAACAGAGUGUUAAGGAUGAUCGCGAACUAGGACCUUAUUCAUUAUAGGAAGUAAAUGAACUUGUUCAGCUCUGCUGGCGUAUAGAGGAACAAUACGUUUGUUACUGUUAUAGUUUAAGGGUAAUAUAAAUCAUUAACUUGUAACAGUUGUGCAAUUAAAUCAUUUUGAUUUCCUUAUGAAAAGCAAAUUAUAACUCUACAAUGACCACUGACAGUUAGCUUUUCUGACUUGCUGCCUGGAUUUUGCUAUUCUCAUUUACUUUUUUUUUCUUUUUAAUUAUUGUCACUUGUUAAAUGCUUUCUUUAAGUUUAACUUUUAUUCUUAUUUUGUUUGUGCUUUUUUUUCGAAUUAAAAUUCUUUCUAUAUAUCUCUCCUCCCUAUCUAUGCUUCUCUAUUUAUUCUCUUCUCUCUCUUCUGUCUCUAUGGUGUUUGCUGUUGGGGACUCUGGAUGCACAGCCAAAUCGCAUUCUUUUAGUUACAAUCCAUCACAUGCUAUAUCCUAUUACUGUGGAAGUGCUGCAUCAAGUUUUUUCUCCCCAUGGAUUUGUGGAGAAGAUCGUCACAUUUCAGAAGUCGGCUGGUCAGCUUCUUCAAGUUUUCUUCUCUUUCUCUCUCUUUUCUCCCUCGCCUCUCCACUUGCAAAUUUUAAUUCUCACCUAGAGACUUAAGGUCUUUUUGUAUGCUUAUAUUUUCAUGAUGAACAUUCUAAUGGGUCUGCCAAAUGGCUUUAUAGUUUUGAAUAAUCUGUAAUAUUUUCCCUAACUCUUUGCUUUGAGUGCUUUUGUGGAAUGCUUUUAUGAUUUUCAGUGGGUGACAGAGGCAUAAUGAUUUCAACAGAGUUGUGCAAAAGAGUUUUCCAUGGUUUUUAAUAGUUAUUUUCCCUUUAUUAUCCCUGCUCACUGUUCAGGUUUUCAAGCUCUUAUUCAGUAUCAGUUGCGCCAGAGUGCUGUUGCAGCUAGGACUUCUCUUCAGGUAGUAUUCUAUCUUUUAUUUCCCAAUGUGACAUUCAUCUGUAAGUUUGUUUGAGACUUGCAAGUGGCUUGAUUUUGGAUAAGUUUGAUGCUUGUCUAUGUUGUAGGGACGGAAUAUUUAUGAUGGUUGCUGUCAGCUGGACAUUCAGUUUUCAAAGUAAGUAAUACAUUUUACUAAUUAUUAUCUACUUUUAACUGCCGACAAAAAGAAAACGCUAUCUGUUGCUGUCUUUUUUUCUUGGUUGUGUUUGAGUAUGAUUAUCCAUGAUUUCACCUUUGGAUGUGCAAAAAGGAAAAAAAAAGUAUUUAAAUCUUUGUCCUCUUGCUGAUAUAAAUUUAUUCUUCAUUGUUGCCCUCCAGCUUGGAUGAGUUGCAAGUGAACUACAAUAACGAUCGAUCAAGGUUUGCGAUAGUUGCAUGAAUUGACAGUAUAACUCUCUUCUAUCGUUGAAACAUUAUCCUAUCAUUUUCAAUAAUAUUAUGUCUCUUUGUGCAGGGAUUUCACUAACCCACAUCUACCUUCUGAACAGAAAGGCAGAUCUUCACAGGUAUGCUAUAUUCUGUGGUUUUAUUUUUCAUGAGUUCACAUGCAUGUUAGUAAAUAGAGAUUGAGAAAUAUUAAAUUCCUCUCUUUCUUCAUGCAGCAGGCUGGAUAUGGUGAUGUAGGAGGUAUGAUAUGAUUUAUCUUCAAGCUCCUGAGGCUGGGGCAGUUGUUGAAUUUGGAAGCUAUGCAGUGACUAUUAGCUCAUUCUUUUAAUAUCUUGCUUGAUUAUAACUGAUUCUCUUUUUCGUUUUUCUCUGCUGCAGUUGCAUAUCCACAGGUGGGUAUUGCUCAGGUCGCGGUAAAAGUUAUCACACACGAUUUGUCUGUUGGCUGUUAUCACCUUUUUGCUUUUUUUUUUUGUCUCCCUUUCUGUUGAAUAUUAAUAUACAUAUGUUUUUUCAAUGAUUCCAAUACUGCUUUCAAAUAUUCCUCUUAUGUCACUACUUAGGUUUGUUUAUUUAGUUUAGGACAUGGAAUUGAGAGUCGGAUACUCGAUUGUUUACUGAUGGAUUUGGGUGGACAUUAUACAAAUCCAUAUCCCUUGCUGCAUUUCUCCCAAUAUUGUUUGGAACAAUUCCUGGAAUAAGCAGAAGCAUCAUAACCCCACAAAAUUCAACAUGGAAAAUGAAAAAAGAAGGAAAUAACGAGGCAUGAAUUGAUGCCUCAGAAUUCUCUGUUUGUUGGAUCUUGUUUUGUGUUAUACAGUAAUGUUUACAUGAAUAAUGCUUGAGAUUUUCAUGCGAAUUAGUUGGAUCGUUUUUUAUGGGCCCUCAUCAAGAUAAUUCUUCAAAGCUUCUUUAUUUUCUAAAGUUGUUUUAAAUGAAACUUUUUAAAUUUUGAUACAGUUUGAUUUAUUUGUUCAUAUAUUGAUUAGAUGGCGAAUGCAGCUGCAAUUGCUGCUGCCUUUGGUGGAGGUUUGCCUCCUGGAAUUAGUGGGACGAAUGAUAGGUGUACAGUCCUUGUAUCCAAUUUAAAUCCUGAUGUAAGUUACCUCUGCUCUUUCCAUUCUGUGAAUUUUUUACUUUUGGUUGACAUAUCUGCUAUUCACAUUGAAAAACUUUCCUGUGCUCAGAGAAUAGAUGAAGAUAAGCUUUUUAACCUGUUUUCCCUCUAUGGAAACAUUGUGAGGAUUAAGCUUCUCCACAAUAAACCAGAUCAUGCACUUGUUCAGAUGGGGGAUGGUUUUCAGGCUGAAUUGGCGGUUCAUUUCCUGAAGGUCUUAUCAUAAAAGCUUCUCAUGCUACAUUACAUUGAUUGAUACUUUUUCUAAUGUUUUAUUGGGUUUUCUUUGCACCUGCUCCUUGAAAUUGAUGGUAUGCUUAAAUGUCAAGUCUCAUGGAUGAAAUUGGUUUAUUUUCUUAAUAUUUUAACUUUAAUGAGCAUUGGCAGCAUUUCUCCCCACACAAAUGAAGCUGUAUCUUUCUGUCAGUCCAAUGGAUAAGAUGAUAUAUAAGAACUCUAGGAUUCAGAUGGCUUCGCUGGGAAAAACAAGCAAUUGAUCUUUCAUUCAUGCCUAUAUUUAUUUCCUUAUUUUAUGUUGAUUCUUCCUGCAUUUUUGGCGGUGUCAAUCCUUGUAUCAUUGAUUUCUGUGGUUCUGCUGCCUGCUUAUUUAAAGGAUCAAAUCACAAUGGUUUGUGAAGUUGGUGUUCAAUAGUUUUGAUAUAUGAAAUAAGAAUGAUAAAGAAGAAAAAAGGACAGGUUCUACCGGUACUUACAGUAACUGUCCCUUUGGGUGGAAAUUUGUCUUCCUCCUUGCUUCUGUGGUUUCAGAUAAUCCAUGAAUUAGGGAAUCAAUCUCAGUUGUUUGUUUGAAUCUCCCUCUUCCACUUUAUUUGCAUUUCUUUCACUUGCUCCUGCCAGUGAAAGAAAUGCAAAUAAAGUGGUCUUUUCAGGUCUUUUAUCUUUGUUUGAUGGGCUCUUAAUUUUUAAAACUGAACAUUUUUAAUGGUUUUCAAAUGUGGAACAGGGUGCAAUGCUUUUCGGGAAGCGGCUGGAGGUUAACUUUUCUAAGCAUCCAAACAUAACUCAAGGUGCUGAUACACAUGAGUACAGCAACUCCAAUCUCAAUCGCUUCAACCGAAAUGCUGCAAAGAACUACAAGUACUGCUGCUCACCAACAAAGAUGAUCCACCUUUCCACUCUUCCUCAGGACAUCACUGAAGAGGAGAUAGUGAGCCAUUUGGAGGAUCAUGGUGCCAUUGUCAACACUAAACUCUUUGAGAUGAAUGGGAAGAAGCAGGCCCUUGUUCUGUUUGAAACUGAGGAGCAGGCCACUGAAGCCCUCGUGUGCAAACAUGCGAGUUCACUUGCUGGGUCAAUAAUCCGGAUUUCCUUCUCCCAGCUACAAUCAAUUAGAGAAACCUCAUAGAAGGUAAUUGCAGUUAUGAAUAGACUUUUUAAGGACUCUUGGUAGUCAGUGAUAUUUAAUCUGAUGUAUUGGUGAUGUGCUGUUAUGCGUUGCUUUCUCUUCUCCUGUAACAGUUCACUGCUUUGAUACUGGAUGGAUUCUGCUUUUGGUUUUUAUUAUCCUCCUUUAACCUCUAAUGUUUGUACCAGUUAUUUAUUAGGUUCAUUCAAUGAGGACCCUUAAUUAGAUUCAUUGUUUGCAGCAGAUAAUGCGCAGUUUUGGCGAGUAGGGGUAGGGAGCAUGUUAAAUCCUUUUCAAGUUGAGGAAUCUGUUUUGUAUCAUUUUUGUAUAUUGUUUGUACUUGAGGCUAAUUGGGCCUUUUUCGGUUACGUUCUUAAUCCAACGCCCAAUUUGUCUGUCCUGCUCGUAUGAGUUUCUUUUUGUUGUUGUUCGUCUAUUUAUCCCUUCAUUCUUCUUCUUCCUCUUCUGCUGCUGCACCCCCUCCCCUCCCCCCCUCUUUUUUCCUCCUCUGCCAGUGCUGCUGCUGCUUCUUCUUCUCUAUCCAUAUGUUUGGUAUGAUUUAUUUUGCAAGAAAAAAUUCAAAUAAAUUCUUAUAAAAUCAUGCAAUCAUUUAUGCAUGUUUUUAUUUCAUUUGAAAAUGAAAAUUUUUUAAAUUAAAAUGAAAUGAAUUCUUUCAUUCUAAAUAAGAAAAUUGAUAAAAAAAAUUAAAUUGAAUUGAAUUUUUAUGAAAUUUUUUAUUUAAAACAGUGUGUGUUACUAGAGGUUCUGAUAAAUGAUAGUUUUUUAGAGGUGAGCUUAUUUUGAUUUUAACUGAACAAUCAAUUUGUUUUUUAUUUCGUUUUCUUUUUGGGGUAAAUUAGUGUGGCUUUGUUUACUACUUUUAAAUAUUUUGGUUUUCGAGUGCGUUAUGAUUAUGAAGGGAGACAAAUGACGGAACCAAAGCUAAACCUAUCAAGAUUAUGUUGUGCUACUCGAUACUCUUUGUUUGAGAGUCCUUUUACGAUGUCGUGCUCGUUGCUUUUUCUAAACCCCAUCCCUCUCACAUGCCAUAGAUCUCCCUCAUUUCUCAGCAGUCAGCAACGCCAUCAACCCAAUUUUUUCACUUCAGUUGCAUAAAGAUUACUAGGCAAUCAAUUCGUUAUGUUUAAUUUUGUUAGCAAUGUAUUUUUAUUUUCUUUUUGGGUUUUAAUCACAAGGAUUCCUAACUCAAUUAGCUAAAAUUAAAUCCUUCUAUUUUAUUUUAAUUAGGACUCUUCAAACUUCACAUUACUGGUAUAAAUUUAAUACCACAUUUCAAAAUAAUGUUGUAAGGACGAUUUUUAUUCAGCAUAUAAUUUAAUUUAAUUACUAAUAUUUGUUUAAUUAUAAAUUCAGAAUAUUUUUAAAAGAUUUAUCAUUUUUAUUACCAAACACAUUUUUUGACAAACAAAAAACAUGAUAGUAGUUUACUAUAUUAUACUAAAUUAAUUUGAGUUGGCUUUCAGAUUAAAUUUUUUACUCCAAGGUCAGUUGAACUUAUAGCUGCGAAAUCUGAGCCGUCCAUUCCUUAUCACAUUUUUUCACGCUAGCUACAAAAUUUACACCGGAACAUUUUCCAAAAAGAAAAGAAAAAUCAAACCAGUGGAGUGCGGAAAUAGAUAGAUGGAUUCAACCCUGAAUCGAAUAUCAGCUUCAGCUGCUCCUUUUUCAGUUUACAAAUUUCAAAAGCUUCAUUUUCUAUCUUCUUCUUCCACUAGAAUUUCUGUUAAGCGACUCUUCUGUUCCAAUUCCAAGCUGGAAAUUAAUCGUCCCCAAGACGACGCCGUUCUCGACGAGUCCGCUUUUGAGGCCCAGAGAUUACGCCUUGACGCCAAGGCUAGAGAAGCCAUGGCCGAGACUUCUAAGAGAGAGAUGGAGGCGGAUACUGAAGAUGAUCCCAAAGCUUGGAAAUGGGUGAUCCGUAAGAGAAUUUGGGAUUUUAUGGAGGCCCGUAACUUUGCCCAGAAUCCGCGACCUGUUCACCAUCGUAUCCCCAAUUUUGUUGGCGCCUCAGCUGCUGCUAAGAAUGUAACAGUAACAAUAAAAUCGAUUUUCUGUUUUGUUUGAUGUAGUGGAUUUGACUUGUUAAUGGGUCGGGUUAUGGCAGUUGGCCGGGUUGGAUGUGUUCCGGAAUGCGGAUUGUGUGAAGGUAAACCCUGAUUCUCCUCAAAAGCAAGUCAGGUUUCUCACUCUCUCUGGUUAGUUUUUUCUUCGGUUCUUCUUCUUGUUUAUUUAUUUAUGGAAAAUUUAUUAUUUAUUCUCCACAGUAGUAGAAACUUCUUAGUUCAUCUCUUUAUUUUAAGAAAAUAUUAUCUCUUAAGUUUUUAAAAUUAGUUGGUCUCUAUAUUUUAAAAUACGUACUCUUUUUAAAAAAGUCUAUCAAUGAAUAAAAGCUGGUUGUUUUCUUAUUGUCGGUUUUUGAUUGAGAAGCUGAUGAUCAUGUAUGCACAGGUGGAAAGAAACUGUUGACUCCUCAACCCCGAUUGAGGACAGGGUUUUUCUCUGUUCUUGAAUCCCAUUUCUUGCCUCCUAAUGCCAUUAACGAGGCAUGCACCUCUGUAGGGGUUGCCAAGUAUGGAAGGCCAAUUGGGUUGGAUGAAAAGAUCAAAGUAGAUCUAAUUGUCAUUGGUUCAGUUGCUGUUGACCCAAAUACAGGUGCUCGUCUUGGCAAAGGAGAGGUAAUAGCAUCUUAUAUUCUAUUCUACACCUCUUGAUCGUUGCUGCAACAUAUAUUAUAGAUGGGAAAUUCUUCCUCACAGCCGGAUGUAUACUCUAACCAAUCCACAACUAAUAUGUUUGCAAAAAUCUUGUUGAAAAUCAUGGUGGUUGGUUUCUGAUUGCUUGGGUGUAUAAACACUCUGGUUUCGGCCAAGAAUUUUCCAUUACAGAUAGUUGUAGUUGAUGGCUUAACGCCAUCAUGUCUGACUGUUUUCACAGUGUAUCUUGAUCCUUUUAUAUCCUGUCAUGGGCUAAGGUUUCAGUCUUCAGAUCAUGUACGAGUCUUUGACAUUUUGUCAAUGUCUUAGUAUUAGUUAAUAAGGCUACUCAUCUCCACUUUCGGAGUAAAAAAUGUGGUAAAAGGUUUUAUAAAGAUUAUGUGAUGUUGAAAGAGAUUUUGGGUGCAGGGAUUUGCAGAACUUGAAUAUGGGAUGCUGCGGUAUAUGGGGGCAAUUGAUGAUUCAACACCAGUUGUCACCUCUGGUAAGUGCAAUAGUUGUCCUGGAUCCUACUUCCACCCUUCCUUUUAUCUCAAUACCUCAAGCAGAUGCUCUUUUUCUUCUUCUUUUUCCUUUUCCUUUUUUUUUUAAAAGAUUAUGGAAAAAAAAUAUGUCAACCUANNNNNNNNNNNNNNAAAAAAAAAAAAAAAAAAAAAAGUCUGGAGGAUUAGUAAAAGCUGCAAUACCAUCUCUUUAUUAAGCAACAUUGUGACUAGAUUUCAUGUUCAUGCAAGUUGUCAUCUUGAGCAAAAUAGAUAUUAAGCUAUUAUGUUUCUUGAGAUCAGUACUUCUCUUUCCAAAUUAUAAUGGUAGGGUCAUUUUGUAGUUGGAGAGAGAAGGAAAUGAAUGGUAAUUCCUUAUUGAGUGCAAACAUAAAACGUAGGUGGGUAUUCCAUUGUAUCUAAUGCAUAUAACUCAGAGUAUGAACAGUUAUAUUCAAUUUUAAUUAUCAUAUAUUAUGAAUAUCAUAAUUCAACUAUUUUGGUGCUUCAUUCUCUCUUAUUGCCGGUGCAGUGCAUGAUUGCCAAUUAGUAGAUGAUAUUCCAGUGGAGAAAUUGUUGAUCCAUGAUGUUCCUGUUGACAUCAUAUGCACUCCCACCCAAGUCAUAUUCACCAACACAACCAUCCUCAAGCCUCAAGGUUUGUGAAGCAAUAAAGUUGGUAGUUUAAGCCUCUAACCAUCUCCAUCUUAAUUUUCUUUACGAAGUGGUGUUAAUGAUCUCAUGAUUAAAUUUGAAUCUCUGCCUUGUGAAAGGCAUUAGCUGUAGUAACUUGUGAAUGGCAAAAAAGGGUAUCAAGAAAUUGAUUUGUUAUAUGAUGGGAUGAAAUAGUCUUAAAUCAACUUUUUUUCUUCUUUUUCCUUUUGGGGGUGCUUCUCUUGCAGGUAUCUACUGGGAGAAAUUGUCUCUAGAGAAGCUUGGCCAAAUUCGGAUACUUAGAGAGCUUAAGAGCAGAAUUGAAAGGGAGAGUGGGCAGAAACUUCCUUGUGGACCAUCUGAGAAACUACCCCCUACGGCUCAGCGGAGAAGGAAUUCUAGGAAAUGAUUUUAUAUGUGAGUUUUAAUGCAAAUAACUAGCAUACAAUAGAUCAAACACUACAUACGUAUUAUCACUUUUUCUUUCAAAAAAAGAAAGAGAAAGAAAGAAAGCUUCACUUCGACUUUUUUAAGUGAGAUAUUGCUCUUAUCAAUAUCCUCCACGCAUAUGUAAAUUGUAUAUAUGAGAUUUCAGGUGAUGAUAGCAAAUUGGACUGAAUUAUUAUAUAGUUCCCUAAUCCCUAGUUCAUCAUAAUAAUUAAGUUGAUUUUUGCGCUUUGAAACUUGGAUGAAUCAGUUUUUUAUUUUGUGGGUGAUAAAGCCUUUUCGGCCGUGGAACUCUUGCUUGUUGGACGGUUUCCGGUGAUGGUUUCGAUAUUGGGUAGGCAAUAUUUUUUCAAAUUAAUCAUUUAAAAAUAUUAAAAAUACAUCAUUCUCAUAAUCCCCUUUAUUAGUAUUAAUGAUUUAGGUUUUGAGCCUUAAAAUGCUUAAGCGCAGAUAGUUCAGAACAGCAAAAAAAGCUCAAGCAUCGCCCGAAAGAUGCUUGAGAGUAAAUAGUUUGAAAAGUGAUAAGGGCAAAAAUAGUUCAGAAAGCGUUUGAGGACAAAAAUAUCCAGAAAUUAUGAAGAGUCAAAGGACUCGAAAUAAAGAAUUGAUGCUAAAAUGUACGGAGUAUUAUAUAGAGUAAAAGAGUUCGGACGAAAAAUUAAAACUAAAGAAUUGAAAAAAGAGCUAAAAUGCUCGUAUAAAUAGUUAGCGCUAAAGAAUUCAGAAUGAUAUAGAAAAUCAAAGAGUUUGGACGAAUGUUUAGGGUUAGAGAGCCCAAUAAAAUGAUAAACCACUCAUAAAACCAAUAAACUGAAACGUUUAUUAAAAGAUGGGUUUAGAGACUGAAAGAUGCCUCAAAGUAAAACGCUCAAAGGAAAACCUAAAAGAGCAGAUUAAUAAGGUCAGAAUAGAAAGGAAAAGAUGGAAGAGACGACUGUCAAGGUUUUAAGGUCAGUUCGGAAAGGCAAUACUAGAAGGACAGAGCACUCAAAUUGAACCUCUCAAAGAAAAACUAUCAAGGUCAGGCUUUUCAUGAAAAAGACCACUAAGAUCAGAUCUUCUAAAGGGAUGAUUAUCAAGAUGUAAAAUUUGCUCUCUCAAUUUGAUUUAUGUUAAGUUAACUAAUUUUAUUAAUUGCACUUCAUAAGCGUCAACCAAAUGAAUAAGUACAUCGAAUUAGCAUUAUAGAUUCUCUUUUUCUACCGUCAUAAAUAACUAUUGAAGAAGUGAAAGGAUAACUCAUUACGUAUAAAAAAUAGAUCCUUAAGGUUAUGACAUGUGUACACAUGAAUCGAAAGUUUUUGUGCAGAAAGAAUUCAAAAAAGAUCCUAUCUCUUUCCGUUACACAAAGAGAACCAAAGCCACUAUCCUCUUCUUUGUUUUACUACCCUUAACUCUACUAAAUUAUCAUAUCUGACUUGAGUGCGGACGAAUUUCUAUCAGGAAUUCUUUCAAUAGACCUCUGACCGUCUUUUUCAUCUUACAGAAUUCCUGAUCAUCUUAUUUAUUUUACAGGACUCCUUCAAAAUCAAGUAUGAAAAACUUAAUAAACCAAUUAAAGAUUAAUGAUCAAACUAGGAAAUUAAAUUUUUGUCUAGGAAUUCUCUAUCAAAAUUUAUUUCAGUCAUCGAAAAUACAAGAUUUUAAUGGAAUAGAAAAACUAAAUUGGGUUUGUUUGAUGAUUAAAAAUUAAAUAAAUAUAUAAAAAUUUAACGAUUUAUUUUUAAAAAUAAAUAAUAUAAUUUUUGGAGAGAAGAUUCGCUCUCAGGUCUCCACUUCCCAACCUCCCGAGUUAUGGAAUUGGCGGGAAUGUUAAAGUAAACUGACAAAACGACGAUAGAUCAAUCAUUUUUACUUAAAAUAAAUCAAAAUUCAUUCAAAUUCGAACCCUUAUGCUUGCGUUUUUCCUUCCACCUUCUUCCUCUUCUCUCUAGCUCUCCCUCUCUCUGAACACAAAUCACACUUCUCUUUUUACCUGUUCGAUAAAACUCCGCCAUGAACCAGUCGAUUUCGACAACAUCACGGCUCGGUGAAUAAACUAAGUCAUGGGUUCACCAGUGAACGGAGUGACCCCGAGCUCGUCGCCCAGAAGGUUUGUGCUGGGAUCUACAAGGUUGUCGCCGCCAAUCAUCCUGAUUAUGCUCUCGUGCGUUGGUGUAUCUGGUCCCGUAUCUGGGUUUGAUUAACUUGCGUCUUUGUACGUGCUGUUUAUGUUGUUAACUGUAUAAAUUGUCGAGAUUAAAUGCUGUUAAUUCAAGCAAGUUCCAAUAUUCCAUGCACAAUAUCUUUGCGCUUCUGGAAUAAUUAUACUUUGUCUUGUAUGAUUGGCUUGAUUUGCUUGUUAAAUUGGUUCAUAUUGUGGCUCAGUUGGCUGCUACAAUUCGAAUCUGCACAGGGAUACAAAGAACUGCUUUUUAGAAAUGUAAGCGUUUCGGUUUGAUCGAAUUUCCUUAGUUUUGUUUUGAUUUUAGUGGAUUGUCUUAAUAAAACGUGUUCUGGCAUGAAUGGUAAUGCAGGAAUGCAUAACCAUGUCGAUGAGAGGUCUAGACAAAAGGCUUCUCUUAUUGUAGAUGAUGUUUAUUAAGUGAUCAUGAAGACAAUGUUCCAUAAUUAUUUUUAUUUUCUUGUUUUUCAAGCAAUAAAUAUUGCAAAUAAAAUUAUCUUGAUCAUCUACCAUUUUAGGGUCAGGAGCCUAAUUGUUGUUUUAGGUAAGAGGUUUGGGCUUAAGUUUACCAAAUUGAAUGAACUUUGAUGAUGACAAGAGCUUGGAAAAAUUCUACCAAUUUCAUUGAUAGAAACAAACAUGUAUUUAUGCAUACAAAUUUAACAGACAAUGCAAGACAGAGCACCUUAUCAUGCUGGAACUUGGAACUGAAAAACAUAACAGCUAGUUACUAAAGAUAUGUUGUAACUUGUUUAUUUCCUAAUGACCUGGUCUUUUAUUUCUGCAUGUGCUUGGACUUGUUCUAUGUCCUUCUGGAGUGUAGCAUCCUCUGCGGCAUCAUCAGCAACACUGACUUUUGAAUCACCACUUGUCUCAUUAGAAAUGUAACUGACCAAAUCUUUCUUAGAUCAUUCUGUGACGAAAAUUCAAUUUUCAGUAAUCAAUUCUGUAAAUCUUAUCAAUGUGGCUUCUACUUUAUCAAGAGUCAGGUGACUCUUUUCUUGACCAAAAUUAUGCACCAGGAAUGACAUUCAGACUGAAAUUUUUAGUUUUCUUAGAUUUUGCUUGAUGCGGGAUGUGUAUAUUAGAUAAUUUAUAUUUUCCUUCUACUGGAAUGCUACUCUUCUAGAAGGUGACAUCAUCUGUGGCAGAGAUUUUGGCUAUAACUACUUCGGCUUCAACACUCGUGAGAGGUCCUAUCCUUUGAAGGUCGGUAAGGACAUAGUGGAAAGAUCAAAUGUUGAUGAGGGUCGAUGUUGGUAUCCACGAGGUUGACAUUGACUCUAUUGUCAAAAGUAUAACACUUGAUGCCUCAGCUUUGGUUCACUCAUGCUACAUGUUGUGAAUGUAUUCAUAGAGAAAACAUGCCAACAACAUGGACAUGGAAAUUAUGGAUAAAGAAGACAUAGUUGCGACUAAGAGUGCAAUGGCAGCGAGAAGUCUUUUCAAAUCAAUUAACCUUUGUUAGCAUUCAGAUUAGGAUAAACUUUAAACUUUCUAGUUAUUAUCUGAUAAUCGCCGGGCUUCACCACCCCGGAAUGAGGCCAGGCCCAAGAGGCUAGUACCGGCCCAAAGCUCAUGAAGCCUCUGGGACCGGCUACUCCCACGCCUUCAGCCCGGAUGCGGGCACACAGAGUGGACCAGGUCACUCACAAGCCCAGACCCAAUAAGAGGAAGCUCAACCCGGUAAAGUGACAAGAGGAAGGACAACGGGUCUAGUCAUUUCGCAGUUGAGUGACAGAAGCAGGUGGCAUUGUAGCAGAGAGACUGUUAGACAUCACUAGCAGACAAAAGGAAAAAGAAUAAAAGGAGAGGAACACCUUCCUCUCCAUCUAAGCUCACACAACUACUGUAAACCCUAUUCUCUAGAUCUCAGAAUAUCAAUUGGUGUCGUCUGUGGGAGCGAAAGAGAUCUUUUCGUCACCGGAGUUCCGUUCUUACAAUACCCACUGAGAUCCAGAAUGGCUAACCACAAUGAAAAUCACGCCGUUAACACCCCAAAUGACCUGAGUUUUGCUCAAGAAGGGCAGCAGUUCUCCUUCUCUAGCCUUACAACCCCCACUAACCAACCACCAAUGCUGUUUAAUCCCUCACCGAGCUCUGCAGGGAAUGUACCUGUAGCCACCAUAUCCAACCAAGACCUUCAGACCAUGGCCCUUCAAUUACAGAAUACGGCCCACUGGUUGGGGCAGAUAAUGCGGCAGAGGGGUCUCAAUACCCCCUUAAAUGUGUCUCCCAUGGCUGAAGGAAUCCGUAUCAGUGAACCCCAACCAACUUUCAACUACCCCAUCCCUCAACAGAGCAGUAGGGGAAUUGGGGAAAGAAGCAGAGGAGCCGGAGACGAAGGGGAGCCGAUAGCCAGGGUUCACGGAAGAAGAGUGAGAGAACUCAUUGACAACGAUAAGGCAGAAAGCUAUUCCGCGGACACAGCCAGAAGGACGGAGAGUGAGGAAUGGAGAGAGGGAUGUCGCCUAGAGAAGAGGUCGAGACAAGAGGAAGAAGAUGUAGAUCAGAAGCUGCAAAAGAUGAGGGAACAGUUCAUGGCCGAGUUGGGGGCAAAGGACCACAGUCAGACUCUUUUGCCCACCUCCUCACCUUUUUCGGGGUGGAUACAACAAGAGACCAUUCCUAAAAAGUUCAUGAUGCCCUCCAUGGCGACAUAUGAUGGGACAGGAAACCCGAUGGAGAACAUUCUCAACUACAAGACCUUUAUGGAGUUGCAGACCCUGUCAGAUGCCUUAAUGUGCAAGGUAUUCCCUACGACACUCACAGGACUAGCAAGGGCCUGGUUUAACAGUUUGGAGGCUGGGAAUACUAAGAGUUUUGGCGACCUCGCCAACUUCUUUAUCAGCUGGUUCAUAGCAGGAGUACCGGCUGACAGGAACACUAGCUACCUGGAGACAGUCAGGCAAAGGAGGAAUGAGUCUUUGAGGGAAUAUGUAGCUUGUUUCAAUACGGAGGCCCUGCAGAUCCCUGAGCUAGAUGAAAGCCGGGCUGUGGAAGCCAUGCAGAAGGGAACCACCUCUCCUGAGUUCUUUGUCUCGUUAUGUAGAAAACCGCCCAUCUCCUUGGCAGAACUGAUGAAGAGAGCAGAAAAAUACAUAGCAAAAUGACGCCUUAACGACCAGCAGAUUUGCUAGAGAAGUUGCAGAUAGAGGAAGAACCUUAGAAGAGAAGAGGUCGGACAGACCUAAAAGAAGACGCAAUAAAGGACCCGAGGUAUACAGACAGCCCUGGGACAGAAGAGAGCAGAGACCGCCCCUAUCUCGGGUCCCCAAAGCAAUAACCCCCCUUAAUGCCUCCAGAGCCGAAGUGCUCGUGGCAGUUCAAGACAAGGAAUUCCUUCAAUGGCCCAAGCCUAUGAAAGCGGAAGUAAGCCGGAGAGAUCCAAACAAAUAUUGCCAGUACCAUCGCACCCACGGCCAUGACACCAAUUACUGCUACCAGCUGAUCAGCGAAAUUGAAAGGCUGAUAAAGAGGGGACACCUCCGAAACUUUAUAAAAAAACCGGAAGGAGAGAGACCUCAGCAGAACCCCGCAGUGGAAAGGCCCCGAAGACUGGGAGUAGGGCCAGUGAAUGAUGGCUUUAGUGGAACCAUUAAUAUGAUUGUGGGAGGAACUCGAGGACGGAUGAGCAGGAGGGGAAAGAAGAGAAGCCGAGACGGGGAGGGAAGCAGCAGUGAAGUCAUGCAGGUGGUAGAGCAUUCCCCUGUGGUCAUCUCUUUCUUCCCUGAAGAUGCCCAUGGCAUUCAAAUGCCUCACAACGAUGCCCUUAUCAUCGAGGCUGUCAUCCACAACUACCGAGUUCGGAAGAUCCUGGUUGAUGACAAGAGCAAAGUAAACUUAUUGCCGUAUAGGGUCUUCCAGCAGAUGGGGAUACCAGAGGAGCAGAUGGUGCGAGAUCAAUCCCCGGUAAAGGGGAUCGGAGGAACUCCAGUAACCGUGGAAGGUAAGGUGAAUGUGGCCUUGACUUUGGGAGAGCCACCCCUGUCUCGGACUCAUUAUGCCGUGUUCUUGGUAGUGAAGCUCCCACUAAGCUACAGCUGGGAAGGCCUGUGCUGUAUGACUUCGAGGUGGUGACCAGCAUCAGAUAUCUGACCAUGAAAUUCCCAACAGAGGCAGGGGUGGGAAUAGUUUGAGGGCGUCAGGAGGAAGCAAGGGCGGUAUACAUGGCCACGGUGGCAGAACCGAGCUCAGUAGACGAAAGAAUCAACUCAAAGGUUAUGGAGGUCAGAGAUGAGAAGAAAGAAGUCAGGACAGAACCUGUGGGGGAGCUGGAAACCUUCACUUUGUCUGAAGGAGAGACAGACAAAGUUUUCAGCCUCAACGCAGGCCUGACUGAAGAACAAAAGACGGCAACAAUGGCUCUAAUCCGAGGCUAUGCCUCAAGCUUCGCUUGGAAACCAUCUAACAUGCCAGGAAUAGACCCUGAGGUGAUGACCCACAAGUUGAACGUUCUCCUCAGGGCAAAACCUAUAAAGCAGAAGAAGAGAGUGGUUGGGAAAAAAAAACAGCAGGCCACCAGGGAGGAGGUGCAGAAAUUAGAAGAAGCAGGGUUCAUUAGGGAAGUCAUGUACCCACAAUGGUUAGUAAAUCCUGUACUAGUGAAAAAAGCCAAUGGCAAGUAUAGGAUGUGUAUAGACUUUACGGAUCUGAAUCAAGCUUGUCCCAAAGAUUGUUAUCCCCUCCUUGCUAUUAAUAAAAUGGUCGAUUCCAUGGCCGGUUUUGAUUAUAUGUCGUCUCUGGAUGCAAUGUCUGGUUAUCACCAAGUCCCAAUGGACAGGUCAGAUGAGGAAAAGACUUCGUUCAUAACGGAAGAUGGAACUUAUUGUUAUAGGGCCAUGCCCUUUGGGUUGAAAAAUGCAGGGGUGACAUAUCAGAGACUGAUGAAUAAAAUUUUCAAGGGGCAGAUAGGAAGGAAUGUGGAGGUAUAUGUGGACGAUACGGUAGUAAAGAGUCAAACCUUUCAUCAGCACUUGAUAGAUCUGAAAGAAGUGUUUGAGGUGCUGGAGCAGUACAAAAUGAGAUUGAACCCGAUCAAGUGCGCUUUCUUCAUUAGAGUUCCUGGGGUACGAUUAGUGGAAAGGGUAUCGAGCCAAAUCCAGAGAAGGUGGAAGCCAUACUGAAAAUGCCUAAGCUGACCUGCGUAAGAGACGUGCAGAGGCUCACGGGAGGGUGGUAGCACUUAACCGUUUCAUGUCAAAAUCAGCAGAGAGGUGCUGACCAUUCUUCAAGAAGUUGAGGAAAGUUCCAGACUUUGAAUGGACUGAGGAUUGCCAACAAGCUUUUAAGGAGCUCAAGCAAUACCUCAAUUCACCCCAUGUACUCAGCAACCCACUACUCUUUAUCUAUCUGGCAGCAUCAGGACAAGCCGUAAGUGCCAUAUUGGUAAGUGAAGAAGGGAAAGAGCAGAAACCAGUGUUUUACGUCAGCAAGGUGCUCAAAGACGCCGAGGUCAAGUAUUUGAACAUAGAAAAGUUGGCAUAUGCCCUCUUAUUAGUAGUAAGGAAGUUCAGGGUAUACCUUGAAAGCCAUCAAGGAGUGGUAAUGACAGAUCAACCUCUAAAGAAAAUCCUCCAUAGACCGGAGACGUCAGGACGGAUGCUUGCUUGGUAUGUCGAAAUUGGCCCCCACUGCCUCGAUUAUCGACCUCGGAUAGCCAUCAAGGCUCAGGCCCUAGCUGACUUCAUAGCAGAGUGUUUCUUCAAUGAAGAACAAACAGAGCUCGGUGAAAAACCAACGGAAGCAACAGGAGAAGGGCGCAAUGAGCAGCCCUCACGAAAGUUUAACUGGAGUCUGUUUGUAGAUGGGGCAUCCAGUGCUAAAGGUAGUGGUGUUGGAAUAAUGUUGAAAGGGCCAGAAGGAUUCAAGGUUUGCUAUGCCUUACGGCUAGAGUUCGAUGCCACCAAUAACAUGGCGGAGUAUGAAGCCCUGAUAAACGGGAUGCUGAUAGCGAUGGAGGUAGGGGCAACCGACCUUGAAAUAAACAGUGACUCUCAGCUGGUGGUCAAUCAAAUAACGGGGGCAUAUCAAGCGAAGGACCCAAUUAUGCAAAAAUACUUAGCAAAAGUAAAAGCCGUAGAAGCUGAGCUCGGUGAGCAAGGAAUCAUUGUGCGAUAUCAGAGAAUAACUCGAGAAGAAAAUGAGGAGGCAGAUCUACUUAGUCGAUUAUCUAAAGAAGAGUUAGAACAACUUCCGAAUGAGGUAUACAUACAACACCUCAGCACCCCAGCCUUUGACAAAACAGACACUAUAAUGCAGAUCGGAGAAGGGAAAAACUGGAUGACCCCAUACUUGGAAUAUUUAGAAAAGGAAAAACUCCCUGAAGAUAAAGUUGAGGCAAAGAAAAUCGCAGCCCGAGCUGCCAAUUACCAAGCAGUGAGGGGAACCCUGUAUAGAAGGGGGAAGUCUAGCCCGUGGCUAAGGUGUGUAGGUCUAGAAGAGACAACCAGGGUCAUGGAAGAGAUCCAUCACGGAAUAUGUGGAGCUCAUGAAGGAGCAGGAACGUUGGCGAACAAAGUUUUCAGGCAGGGAUACUGCUGGCCAACAGUUAAAAAGGAGACAGAAGAAUUUGUCAGAAGAUGUGACGUGUGCCAAAGGUUCGCCAACGCAAUCAACGUCCUAGCCACUUCUCAAUCCAGCAUAUCCAGCCUGUGGACGUUCUCACAGUGGGGCAUAGAUAUCCUGGGACCUUUCUCCAAGAUCACAGGACAGAAAAAGUUCGUAGUAGCUGUGGAAUAUUUUUCAAAGUGGCCAAAAGCUUAAGCAAUCUCCAUUAUCACAGCAAGGAAAAUGAUAGACUUUGUCUGGGGCAACAUCAUCUGCAGAUUUGGAAUACCGAGGAUACUUAUAUAAGACAACGGCAAGCAGUUUGACUACAAGACCUUUAAGGAAUUCACAAGAAACAUGGGCAUAUGGCACAAGUUCUUCUCGGUGGCCCAUCCUCAAACCAACGGCCAGACGGAGGUUACAAACCGAGCUAUCCUCCAGGGAUUGAAAAAGCGACUGGAUGGAGCAAAGAAAAACUGGGCAGAUGAGCUCAAUAGCAUCCUGUGGGCAUUCCGGACCACCCCUCGAACGCCAACGAAGGAAACACCCUUUGCAUUGGCAUUUGGCACUGAAGCUGUAGUCCCCAUUGAGUUACGAGUCCCCACUCACCGAGUCCAGUUCAAUAACGAGAACACUAAUGAUGACAAAUUGAGGGGUAACUCAGAUGUCCUAGAAGAGAUUAGAGAAGAAGCUCAAGCCCGCACCGCUACUUAUCAACAAAAGGCAGCUCGCUACUACAAUAAAAAAGUUAGGGAAAGGAGCUUGAAGGUAGGAGAUCUGGCACUAAGAAAGCUAGAAGCCACAAGAAAGAGAGCUGCAGUAGGAAAGCUAGCAUCGACCUGGGAAGGCCCUUUCAGAAUAAUCAAAGUUGUAAAACCGGGUGUAUAUCGAAUUGAAGACCUACAAGGAAAUUUGGAACCCCAUGUCUGGAAUAUCCAGCAUUUGAAGAGGUAUUUUCCUUGAAUGUACAAACAGCAUAAAUAAACACUUGUACUCUGACAAAUAUGAAUGGAAUAAACAAGGAUAUUUAUGUCAAGAUGUUAUUUUAUCUUUUUGUGUCUGAAUUCUCUUUAAAAGAGGAGAAAGAACAGGCAUUACAGGACCUCAGUGAGGUAGGUGACCGGCCUCCCUCGACACCACAAAACCAGCUGAGAUGAUGAAACGACAGUAAGCAUGGUUUUAAAUCGCGAUCGCGGCCGCGGUCGCGGAUAACGGAAACAGGUCUGUAACGGCCGUAACGUAACGGUAACGGCCUGGCGCUAUGCAAAAUUUUCAAAUUAAUUUGCAAAGUUCAUCAAAUGAUAUGAUAUCAAUAGAUUUAAUUCAGAACAAUGUAUACAAAUAUAUAAUAAACAUAAAUAUAUCAAAUAUAUUACUAUUUAGCUUAAAUUAAAUACCAUAUAGGAAAUUACCAACCUCACUACCACCAAAAAGAACGUCGUGCAGGUUCUUGUUGGUCUUGACUUUGGCUCUCUGAGCUUUGAUCAUUAAGGUGAUGCUGCUGAUGUUGAUAGUAUUGCUGUGGAUCAAAACUGAAUAAAAAACCACCACCCAUAAUAUCAUUAGGAUCACCAUAAGUUGGCUGAGGGUAUGAUAAAGCUAACUCUGCUCCUGAUAAGGGGUAAUAUGAAUAUGCAGGAGGAUAAUUUGUUGGAUAUGGCAUCCCUCUAAAUUGGCCAUGGAACCCAUAAUUUGAUGAAGUAUCUUCAGAUGAUGAGCUACCACCAGGUCCACCACCAUACAUAAAAUUUGGAUUAUACGUGCCAGCGUUGUAUCCAUAAUUUAAUGAAUCAAUUGACCCCUUCUCCUCAUAUGCAACAUCCUUACCUCUUGUUUGGGAUGUUUCAGCACCACCGGUACUAGAACUAUGAGAGCCUCGUGAUCUUUGAUAUGUACGCAUCGGAGAUGGUUCAGAAGCAAUUCUAAUUCCACUUUGUCUUUGACUAGGUGGAUCUUGUGAACUACGACUACCACCUCCUUCAACUGUGGUUCUUCCUCCACCUUGAUCACCACCACCAUCAUCAUCAUCACUACUAGAGCUGGAUAAAAUAAAAGAAUCAUCAUCACCAGCAGCACCUUGUUGUCCUUGAGUUUGAGUGGCAGAUUCAGACUGUGAUGGAGCAUUACCCGCCUCUUCACCAUCUAACCAUGGAUUUGGUUGCCCAUCAAGCAAUGGAGAUUCCCUUUCCUCCAACCAAGAGUUUAACGGAUCAUCUUCUUCAAAAAUAUAAUCCAAAUUAAUUGGAUCAUAGCUCCUGUCUAACUCUUGUUGGCUUUUUCUUGUCACAUUUUUUAUUUUCAGCCUCAUGUUGUAGUGCACAAAGACAAGUGCAUGUAAUUUUUGAUACUUCAAUCUGUUUCUUGUCUUUGUGUGAAUGAGAGAAAAUGUGCUCCAAUUUCUCUCGCAGUUUGAAGCUGAAGUUGUUUGGCUCAGUACUUUAAUAGCGAUUUUUCUCAACUCAGGAGCACUUUCUCCAUAAUUAAUCCACCACUCAGUUGCAAAAUAUUUUAAAAUUUUUAUUAUUUUAAUGAACUUAGCUAUAUAAAAAGGAACGAACAAAAAUAAUUUAUACUUAUUUUAUAAACUUAGUACCUGGAUUAGUGAACUUAAUUGCCUUUUGCGCCAAAACUGUUCCAAAACUCUCUAUUUUGUCCCGAAAAAGUAGGGCCUACAUGUUCCAAAUUCCAGUAAGUUAACUUCAAGUUCAAAAGCAACAGUUCAAGCUUCAAGCCUUCAACUACACUAACAUAGUAGUAACACUUGAGAAUUAGCUUGUUAGUUGUUACUUACUUGAUUUAAUGCUUUUCCUUGAUUUACUAAAUCCCCCUCUAGACGUUGAAUCACAUUUUUGAGAGCUAACAUGAUCUCAUUAUCAUUUCCAAUAUCAUGUGGGCCAUAUUGAUAUUGAGGAUUUAGAAAAUAUCCUGCAAAAUAAAAUAUGAAGAUAGAUAAUAAGUUAUCUUUUAAUUUAACAACUUAAUUUUCUAAACUAUCAAAUUAUAAUACAAUGUUCUUACCGGCGGCAUGCAAGUCAUGAUGCAAUUGAAAAUUCCAUCUAUGAUAAAUUAUUCUCCAAUAUUCCAAAUAGCUUCUAGAAUUUUUUUGAAUAGCCAAUUUUGUUCGCUCCAUUGCCUCAUAUAUAAAUCCCAUUGUUGGCUUGUCAUCUCCAUCAACUAAUCUUAAAACCUUCAGGAGAGGUUCUUGAACUUUCAUUAUUUGUUGUGCCCUCUCCCAAAAGUUUCUUCCUUCGCUGCCUAAGCCAAGCACAAUUUUCUUGGCUUCAUGCGCUGGACCACUUGUUGCUUGUCCAUAUUUACUCAUCAUCCAUUGCUCCGAUUCGAACAUAUUCCUUAGCCCCACCCUAUAACGGACAAUAGACUCUAAAGCAAUGAAGUUUGUGGCAAAUCUAGUGAUGCCAGGUCGAAUAAUAUCUCUAUUGUCCGUGAAUUUCUUCAUAUAAUUGACUACCCAAUUAUGAUUAUAAAUAAAUUGAGUAAUUACCUUGGCUUGGUCAAUUAUUUUUUUCACACUCUUCUUCUUUCCAAUAUCUUCCAAAAUAAAAUCAAUACAAUGAGCACUACAAGCAGUCCAAUAUAGAUUAGGGAAUUUCUCCAUUAGUUUCUUCCCUCCUAAUUUAAUGGCAGCUUCGUUGUCCGUUACCACUUGGAUAACUUUUUGAGGGCCUAUUUCUUCCACUACUUCUUUCAUAAUUUUAAAAUAGUAUUCUCCAUCUUUAUGCUCCACAUUGGAUGCAUCAACAGACUUGUGGAAAACUGUGCCUCUGUUUGAGUAAACAAGGAAAUUUACUAUACCCAUACGUGUUGGCCCACUCCAACCAUCACACAUUAUGGUAACUCCCCUCUCCUUCCAUAUUCCAUGAAAUGAGGCUAUAUAUUUUUUCAUCUCAUUGUACUCAUUUUUUAGAUAAACUUCUGCAAUUUCAUAAGUACUAGGUGGAGAUACAUUAGGCCCUAUUUCUGCUGCUGUUCUUAAAAGUGGCUUUGUCCACGGUGACUCAACAAUACUGAAGGGAAGUCUAUUAUGUAUAACAAAAUUUUCAAAUGCUUUCAACAUUUUCUCCUUCUGUGUCUUCAACCAUUUAGUUUUUAAUUUUGGCUGCUUUUGUUGAGCUCUGCUUCUCUCUAUCUCAACUUCUGUGGCAGCCAACCGAGAUGCCGGUGUAGAUAUUUCUGCAUAUCUUUGUGCUUCUCUACCUCUCUCACGUGUAGUAGCAGAACGACCCAACACUUGUCUGCUACUACCACCAACAUCAAAUCUAGAUCCAGUUCUCCUUCUAAAUUCAUCUUCUUCCAACUGUCUCAUGCUCGCCCGUCUCGCCAUUUCCAUUUCGAUGUCCUCCUCCUCCUCCUCCUCUUCAUCAUCUUCGAUUCUAUUUAUAUUCAUAAUUUCUUCUUCUAAUUCUCUUUCUCUUUUUUCUUUAUCCUUUUUAGCUAAUUGGUAUUCUUUCAGGACAGCGGCCAUAUCCUUCUUAACUUGGGAAGAAACUUUCUGACAACCUGCAAUUUGACCAGGUAUGUUAGCCAAGUGCAACUUCAAUCUUGUUAUUCCACCUGUGACUUUUCUCCCAUAGAAAUUACAAAUCAGUUCUCCUUUUUUCCCUGUAGGUGUUGCAAACUUCCACCCAAUAUCUUCACUUGGUUUACCACCCCCUUGAGUAGAACCAGAACCACUUCCACGAGGCAUUUUCAAUACAAAUAUUUAAUAACUGUUCAUAAAAAUUAAAAGAUAUCAAAUGUCAAAUACAUGGAAGGCAAAUAUUUUUUUUCAUAACUAAUAUUUUAAUUUUAACCUAACUCCAUACAUUAAUUUCUAUUUAACACAAAUUAUAUAAAUAUGAAAUUUUUAAUUGUUAGACUACAAGUCUUAGUCUACCACUAUUAAUUUAACUCAAAACUAACUCAAUCAAAACAGUGCCAAAGGGUGUACUUCACAUUUCUUUCCUCUUUCAUAAGGCUUUCGUAAUAUCAUACGUCAUGCAAAUGAACUGUAGAUGACUUAGCCUUUCAAAAGCUUUCCAUGUUAAAUUCUAUUAAAUGUAUGUUAUGUUCCCGGAAAGAAGAUAUAUAAACGAGAACAAUAGUGGAAUAAGUGUUAGGUCUUCAGCAACCUUUCUUCUUUUCCUUCUGGGAAUUCUUCAUGUGUACAUGUGGAGUGUGAUGCAAUCAGAUAGAUGGAAUUGGGAUGCUCUUAGGGAAAUGAUCUUGAAGUAUGGCACCCUUCUGGUAGCACCCGUGUCCAUUGCUUCAACAAGCCAGAUUCUUGGUAACAAUCUAUUAACUUAGUUCCUUUGAAGUAUCUGCUGCCAUCUAGUCCCUCUCAUUUUCAGUGGUGAAGAAUUUUUAUGGUGAACAGACACAUCCUCCAUAACUUAACAGAGACUUGUCUUUGGUCUCAUCCUCUUAAAAACAAGAUAAUCAAUGAGAAUGUAUUUAUUCUUUUCACAAUCUGGUUGUUCCUAGUAUUUGUUGCAUGUUACAAUGUCAUGCAUUGAUCUCUCCAUGUCUUAUAUCUCUGCAAGGCCCAAAAACUGAAAUGUACUAUCUGGAACACGGGUUGCUGCUGAUGCAAUCAAGUUUACUAUUGUUACAUCCGUCUCAAAGAUGUAAUGGAAUUUCUUCAUUAUGUUAAGCCUUGUUUACACUUUACACAUUUCUUUAAAAAUCUUCAUUCCAUAUUUAUUUUGUAGUUCUGAAGACUUAAAGUCCAUUUUGAGAAUUAUAAGAGUAGAAAAAGAGUUAAAAUAAUAAUUCUUAAUAAUUAUAUAUAUAUAAAAUUAUGAAUGCAUGUAUGUAUAUUUUUUCAAUUGAAACAAUGGGCACAAAGUUUCAAUGAAAGAUAUCUUCUACAGUCUGCUACUCUGCUUGUAAUGAUCUUGGCAGUUGGCUGUGCCAUGCUGACCUUGCUCAUAUUUGAAGUUUUAUUGUUAUUAUUAUUAUUUAUUUUUGGUGAAAAAGGAAAUGUUAAUAGGACAAACAUUGAUGUCAAUACUAAUAUGAUACAAGUAGUAUGCCCACUGCUUGCUGAAAAACAAAGGAUGCAUGUCCUGUGGCAGUUGCGAGUGCAAAUUUAUGGACAUAUGUCGGCAACAAUCAACUGCAAGUUGGGAUUGAGGAGAUUUGGACCAUGUAAAAGCAAUAUUCUGUAAGUGUAUACCUGAUCCAUCAUGAAUCUAACUCUUCAAGAGCGUAUAAUGUCUAUGAGUUUAUAAUUGCUUAUGUAAAUCACGGUGUGAGGAACUGGUUAGUUAUGUUUUUUACAAAGAUGCAUGGCCAUUUAUUAGGGGUUCAGGAUUGCAGAACUGUAUGAAAAGGUUCAAAUGUAAUGGACAUGUUCAUGGUGCUUUUUGUAUAAAAUGACAUUGUCCUUUUGUUUUCUUCUUCUGUGUAUGUUUUGCUUUACUAUGCAUUCAUGGGUUAAAAAGCCUAGAUUUUAACUGCUUCACUGCUCCGUUAUCCGAGAUGGCCAAAUGAUUAUAUUUUUAAAGGCUUGAUAAUUGUGAUAAUGUUGAUUGAUGGGCCUUGGAGCAUUUCCAAUUAAUUGAGCCUGACAUAGGAGGAAGGGUGUUAAGUAACUUGGUGAUUGAUGUGCACUAUUAUCUUGCUUCCUAAUAGCUUUUUCUUUAGGAAUCAGUGUUCAACUUUACAUUUACCAUUAUUACAACCUAUAAACCUGUCUCUCUGUAUAUUCAUUUCCCCCCUUGAACACUUAUUUCCACAGCUUGCAGUAUGCAUCUUGUGACUGAACUGGUUUGCAGUUUACUUACCAGUCCUACGCAUUAUGAACGAAGUUGUGUAUUAUUGAUUUCGAUGACUUUUCAUACCACGAUGAAAUGAUUCACUAAUACUUGAUGCCCGCCAAAUUUGACAAAUAAUUCGGAGAAAACAAGGUUACAAUGUUUAUACUUAAAAUAGUAUUUUGUAUCAUUUGAUAUUGAUUUGCAUGACAAUGUUGCUAACUCCUAGAUCAGGACAAAGCAUAUUAAUAUUAUUAUAUUUUAAUUCUAACGUGGGGAAGAGGUAUAUUCAAAUUGAAGAAGAAUGGCUGUUGCCUGUACUGGUGUGUGCAGUCCUCUGGCAACUUGUAUGUCCCAUUUUGUUGUUUGAAGGAAUGUGCAUGAUUCUUUUUGGCUUUUUCCAAGCAGAGUAUCCAUAUCUGGUUCGUUACUGUGUAGAAGCACGUUCUGGUUAUUUUAAUGAUUGAUGAUUACUAUCAUAUCUGCUGGAUGAGAUGGGAAUGUGGGGAAUUGGCUUUGAUUUGAUGACUAGAUUAGCCAAUAGAUGCAACGUGCGCCGCCAUUAAUAAAGCUACAGUAGAAUAAUCACUUUCUGAUAAAAAUCUUCUGUAGGGCCAUUCUUUAAUUGUCAAAAGUGAUAUGGAUGAUGAUGUGAGAUUUGAUUUAUGAUGAGUGGUAAGGAAUGGUUCUACAGUUUAUGGACAUAAGUUGCUUCGUGGUAGUUGUAGAAUGCUUGUUUGCAUAACGACAUAAUUUGAUUCCUCGAGUCUUAAGAAUUUGGUGACUUUAUGAACCAGAUAAUCUAGAGCUUAUCACCUCGAAGCUUAGGUAAAAACUUGAGCUGACAAAGAUUAGAAGUCUUUAGCGUCUUGAAACUUCAACUAACAACGCUUAGGCAUGAAUUUGCUUUCUUCACUAAUGAAAAUGAAGCUAUUUCAGAUUUUAAAAUGUUUGGCCUUGAAUUUUGUAGGUUCUCUUUUGGUCCAUAAAUCAAGGUUACCAUCAACUGAUGAAACCUCAACGCCAUUAUUCUAAAGCAACAGUGGGAUUUGCAGAUAUGAACAACUGUGGAUUGAUCAUAAUUUUUCUGCAGAUCAUAGUCAACAGGAAUAUUGUUGGGCCAACAUAUAAGGUAGCUAUCUUUGACCUCAACAACCAAUUGUAUUGUUUGAUUCACAACUUUCUAAGUGAUUCUUUGCUUGAAAGGUUUAUCUUUAAAUUCUUUUCGAUAUAAGCUUUCAAUUUCUCAUGCCACGUGUACUUCUCUAAGAGUCUACUUUUAAUUCUUUGUUUUUUCUGCAGACAAUUUAACAAACUACAAUCUUAAAGUCAUCAUCCUGGAUUUCAUAUUCACAUUGUCCUUAACUAGAAGAACUCUUAGAGUCUUAGUUUGUUUCUUUUAUAAAUGGGCAUCUUUAACUUCAUCCUACAGACAAUUUAAGGCAGCUCCAAGCUGAAAAUGAUUGAACAAGCCUCCUAUGUUUUUAUCCUAUUCUUGUACGUAGAGAAAGGACUAAUUCCACCUUAGCAAACGUGUGAAUCACAUUUCUACCACUCUUUUUCUUUGUGGAGAAUUGGAGAUAUGCCAUUGGUCUAUCUUUUAUUUGGGUCUAAGCUAAAAUGAAUACCCUUUAUUUCUUUUUUGUUCUUUGUGUUUGGUCCAAAUGCAAUGCACUUAGACCAGAAAAUAUUGCCUUUUGGUGCAAAUGAAAGGACUUGUCAUGAUAUUGGUACAAAUUGGAAUGAUGGGAGAUUUCUUUUUAGACUGAGUAAACAUAAACUCCUAAUAUAAAUAUAAGGAAUUUUAUGAGUUUCACUGUAAUUUUAUACCAAGAACCUUAAAAUAAUAGGCAAUAUCUAAAAACUGUGGAUAAGAUGCAAAAGGAUUGCUAGAUUUGGCAUAACAAUUAGGGUUAAUUAUCCUAAAGAUGGCUUGGAUUUAUGCGGUUGAUGGUGAGUUUUAAAGUUUAUGGAGCUUUGAAGUUUUUGCUCAAUUCACAUUUAGGAUUCUUGGUCAAAGAUAGAAAAGUUAGGAAGCGAUAUUCUUCUUCAAGCUCUUUCUUCCAAAUCAAUCCACAUUCAAUUGAAAAUAUUUUUUAAUAAAAUAAUUUAUUUUCUAUUACUUUAUUUUAAUUUUAAAAAAUAUAAAAUAUUAGGCUAAAUUCGAGAGUACUUAUUCUGGUUGAUUUUAGAAAAACCAUAAAAGCUCUUCUUAAUUUUUUUUUUUAAAUUACUUUUAUAAAUUGGUUCAACCACAUAUUUGAAUGUGAAUGAUUUAACCAUUGAAAUGGGAUCUGAAAGUGGGGGAUUAUUUAAUUUUCAAGAUCUCAUAAUUAAUUGUUUUUGCUUACCAGGCCGUUUUUGAGGACCCAAUUUAUUUGGAACCAAAUGGCCGCAUCUUCAGCGUCCCACUCUCCAAUUAUAUAUACUGGUUCGUAGAAUUUGAAAUCGCUCAAAUUUAUUUAGAUACAUUUAUUAUUAUAUCUAAAUAAUUUUUUUUAUUAAAUAAAUAUUAUUAUUAUUCUUAUUUUUCUAAAAACAUAUUACAUUUCGUAGCAGCUAAUACAUUUAUUAAUGUCUACAGCAAUAUUUUUAAAAAAAAUCCAUAAUUUUGUAAUUUUUCCUCUAUGGUUUAAAAAACUUUUAAAUAUUUUUUUAAAUAAUAAAAAAUUAUUAAGAUUUAAAAAUCAUGAAAAACUUUAUUUUAUAAAAUCAUUCCUUAUUUUACUCUAUUUUUCCGAAACAGGGUGUAAAUGUAUGGUUAAGAAAAAAGUUUGUUUUUUUUUUCAAAAAAGUAAAUCAUUACGCUGGUAAUUCAUUGAAUAAGUGUUUAUUGGAGGUAGGUUUAGUUCAGCGAAAGAUUUGACAAACUUCCCAAUCUAAUAUUACGGCUUCAUUUGUUUUUGUAAAAAAUAAUUUAAUGUAAAAAUUUAUUAUUUAAAAAAUAUUUGUAAGAAAUAAUUUCUUUUUAAUUAUUUAAUUGCAUAUUAAAAGUUAAUAAAUUAUAAUAAAAUUCAUACCUAAAAUGUCAAUAAAAUACACAAAACCUAGCAUGAUUGUUUUUAAAGAAGGAAAUUAUUUCCUUUAAAAAUUAUGUAAUUUAAAAAUCCCUUAAUUUAUUUUAAUGAAAGAAAAUAUUUUUAUUUAAUUAAAUUUUUAAAUGCUUUUGAUGCGCUUAAAAUUGAAUAAAUCUAACCUCAUUUCACACCCAUUUGAAAUAAAAAAAAUUUUGUAAAAAUUCAAUUAAAUUAUUUUUUUUUAGAAAAGUUUCCGAAAAAAAUCUAUUAUUUUUAAUUUAAAAAUAUUUUAUUUUAAACAAGAUUAAGUUUUUGCAUGAUUUUAUUAAAAUCUAUUUGAAUUUUUUUAUAAAAUAAAUUAUAUUAAAUGAAAAGUUAAUAUUUUGAUGGAAAUCUUUAACGGUGAAAUAAAAUCUAAUAAAACAAUUUAAUCUGACUGAUAAAAAUAUAUUUAUAAUUAUAAAUUAUUAACAAAAAUUAUUAAAUUUUUAUUAUUAAAAAAUAAUAUUAUAUUCCAUGAAUAAAAAUAUAAAAAUUUAAUUUUCUAAAAAAAAAAAAACUAUUCUUCUGAUGAGACAAAAGAAACAUAUUUUAGGUAUUUGCAAAAUGCUUUUUUUUUUUUUUUUGAAAAACAAAAAGGACGAGAAAUAAUUCUACCGUUUAAGAGCCGUCCCACGCCUAAACUGAAGCUUUCAAUAGAAUUAUUAUUAUUAAAAUUAUUAUUAAAAAUCAUUAUCAUCAUAUAUAAUAAUGACAAACUAGAAGAUCUAAAUAAAGAAUUAUCAUUACUGAUUAUAUAUAAUAAUAAUAAAAAAAUAAAAUUUUUAUUAAAAAUUAAAUCAAAUCAAAUUAAUAAAAUAAUAAUAAUUUUGAUCAAAAUUAAUAAUAAAUAAUUAUAAUAAUAAUAAUUUUUAAAAUUUUCUUUAUGAAAAAUUAUCAUUGAUUUCUAUCACUACUUUUAACCACUGCUUUUAUUUAUUCAAAUUAUUUAUUUAAAUUACAGUUAACCACUACUUUUAAAAAAAUAAUUUUGAGACUAAUUAUUUUUAUUUAAAAUAUUAUAAUCGUCUCUAAAAUUAACAAAUUUGAAUAUCAAUAAUGGUUAAUUACUAAAAAAAUAAUCUUGAGAAUUUCCUUUUGCAAUAAUAAUUUUAUAUUCUGUGAGAAAAUAAUUUAUUUAUUUUUCAUAGGAAUCUUAAUUAAUUGACAUCAAAGUAAAUAAAGACAUGAGUAAGUUAGGCUUAGCUAAGUAAUAAUUGAUAUUGCACAGGAAGUUCAUGCACUUGCAACUCAACUUUGAUUUGACUUGGAUUUUGGAUUUACCCUAUUUAACUUUUAUUAAACACUGUUGAAAUAGUUGGUUUUUUUUUUAAUUAUAAAAUUAAAAAUAGAUAGAAUUUACAAGAAUAUUGGCACACAUGAUAUAAUUAUGGUGUAGAUUAAUAAUUUAAUAAUUAUUAUUAUAUUGCACUCCAAGGUUUAGUCUGGUGGAAAGUGUAUCCUGUAGUCUUGAAAGGUUUAAGGUUCGACUCCCCCGAUCCCCUAUUUCAAAAAAAAAUAAUUAUUAUUAUUAUAUUACUAAAGCAAUUAUUUAAUAAUAGUUUAAAAAAUCUAAAAAAUGAAAAUACACUAUUACUUAUAUUAUAUUAAUUAUUUUUUACUUUGUAGAAAUGAAAAUACACAUAUUUUGUAUCAUAUAUGAUAAUUAACAAAAAUUAUAUAUAAAUAACAUAAAUAAUAAAUAUAUUUAACGAAUAUAAAUAAUGUGUAAAGUAUUUUAUAAUUAAUUCAUUCUUUAUUCAUCUCAUGCGUAUUUUCUAACAAUUUUAUUAUACGAGUAAUUAUAAUUUUAAAAAAAUUUAGUUUAUUUUAAAAAAAUAGAUCUACUGAAAAUAUGAGCGAGAUCGACUCAUCUUUUUUAAACAGAAAUAUAACUAAAAAACUUAAAAAAUUAACAAUACCAUGUUGGAUAGAUUUUUUAUAGUCCGAUCGAAUUAAAAUUCUAAUACUCAUAUUUGUGUUUCGGCGGAAUCAAUUAUUAUUACGUUACCAUAUCCUUUAUCAAAAUAUAUAUAUAUAUAUAUAUAACAGAGAAAUAUUAACGAUCAGGCUCGACAUUUUUUAUUUUAUUAACUAAAAAAUAAUAAUAAUUAAUUAUUAAAGUUAAUGAGAGAAAAAUAAUAAUUAAUAUAAUAAAUAUAUUUUAAGCAAUAAAAAGAACAGCGUUGAUAUUUCUCAACAUUAAUGGUAAUGUGCUUAUCGAAAUAACUGUUGUUUUUCUUAUCUUUGAAUGUAGAGUAUUCAACUUCAUUAACUUCUGGAAGAAAAUUCAUUCCUUCCUUGUGAUACAUAAUUUUAAUUAAUAUAAAAAAAAUUAUUAUAAUAAAAAUUUUUUAAAAAAUAUAUUAUUUUUUCUCUUAUAUCAUUUUUAUUUUUUUAUUUUAAAAUUAUUAUUUAUUUUUUAAAUUAUAAUAAUAUAUAAAUCGACUAUUAUAAUUUUAUUUUAUUUUUAAAUUUUUUUUAAUAUUUAAUAUAUUUAAUGUACAUAUAAUUGAAAAUUUAAUAAAAUAACUAUAUUUUUUAAUAUUAUAAAAAAUUUAUGAGAGGAAUAGAGUAUAAAUUAAUUUUUUAAAUUUUAAAAAUAAAUAAUAAAUUAACUUUUUAAUUCUAAAGAAUAAACAAUCUUAAAUUAUUACUUAUUACCCAAUUUUUCAAGUUUAUUGACUCAAAAAAAUUCAACUUGUGGCUUUUUUUUUUUUUAAAUUCCUAAUUUGUGUGUUUUGAAAAAAAAAAUAUUGUGUGUUUUAUGAAACAAUUAUUUUGCUUUUUCCUUAGACUGAAAUCUUUCUGCCCAUCAAAACUAAAGGGAGUCCUCACUUCUUUCAGUUUUAAAUUCUAUGGAUGAAGAUCCGGUUUAAUUCUAAUUUUUAUUAUCAAAAUUUUUUAUACGAAUAAAAUAUAAAAAUUAAAUAUCACUGAUAAACUAGGCAAUAAAAAAUAAUAUUUUUUUAUAAUAAAAAUAAAUAUCUCGUAAAUAGAUAUUUCACAGUACUUAAACUUGAAAUAUCAUUUAUUUUAUGGAUUUUAUAGAGGAGGAAAAACUUCAAAAAGAUAUUCAUGAGUCAGGAAUUUUCAUACGAAAUAAUUAAUUUUAAAUUUUAUAAUAGAUUUACAUCAAAUUUAUCGAUAUUUGAUAAAAAUUUAUGAUAAUUUUUUAAAAUAUGAAUUUCGAGAUGUAUAAUUUUUAAAAAUAUAGUAAGAGUUACAGAUUUAAUCACAAAAUUUAAUACGAAAAUUUUUCUAUUUAAAAAGUUAAUUUUAUAUUUUAAUUAUUUUUUAAAAUAUUUUUAUAAUUUUAUAUGUUAAAGUGUUUUUAAUUAUAAAUAUCUUAUAUGACCUUGAGAUAUUACCGGUUAAUGUUUAAAAAAGACAAUUGACUUGCUGUAUGGAAUGUGACGCGCUCUCUCAAACUAAGAAGUCAAUUUGGAUUUGGUUUCACAAAAAAAAACAAAAAAAAAAUAAAAUUCCAAGCAGUUAUACUAAAUUUUUAGAUUAAAUAAAAAAAUCACAAAAUUCAUAAUUUUUCAAGCUAAUCGGUCAAUUUUUAAAUAUGUUUAUUUUUUAUAUAAAAAAAAAAAAGGUGGAAAUGCAAGUCAUUGUCAAGGAAGAUAAAGAGAAAUGCUGCAAUCUAUAGGGGAAAAGGGUCUAUUUGUAGGUCACUAACAAGGGCCUACCCUUAACCUACGCAACUCGAUCCCAUAGCCGCACCUACAGAUAAAAACGUCCACGUGUGUAACGUAGAGUUGACCAUAGUCAACGUUGACCAAUAUUGUGUUUUCCCUUUCGUGCACCUUUUGAUUAUUUAUUUUUUUUCUUCUUCUCAAUUCUACUUCAUAAAAUAUUGAAAAAUUAUUAUAUAGUUUAUAUAGAAAAUUUAUUAGUGAAUUUUUUUAAUUUAAAAAUAUUUUAAAAUUUUAAAAAAUUUAUUCUUUAAUUUUAAUUAUUAAAUAUUAAAUAAAAGUUUAUUUAUUUAUUAAAGUAAACCGAUUAGUGGUUGAUAUAUAUUAUAAUAAAAAUAUAGGGAAAUUGACAAGUGGGUUACGUUAAAGUAAAACAAUAUGUAAAACUGUGUUAGAUUAGAUUAAGUAAUUAGAGUCUAAAUACAAUUAAUUUCAAAAUUCAAAUCCAUAUUUUAAUCACCAAAUUGUGAUCUAAUUGAAUGAUUCCACAUUUUGUCCUAAUUUAUUUGUAUUCGAUUUUGGUCCUUUCUUUGCACACAUUGCACGUCAAAUUAGAUACGUGUUUUGACAAAACAAAUCAAAUAAUAUAUAACAUGUUUUUUU
rnacentral:lncRNA from 1 species